rnacentral:lncRNA from 1 species
UUAUUUUCAACAGCUCGCUGAACUUGGAAAGAAGAUAUGUUCAACCAAAGGAGAAGAGCAGGAAACAGCCAAGAAGGAAUUCAUAGAGUGCCUUAAGCUAUUGGAAGGAGAGCUUGGAGAGAAGCCUUACUUCGGCGGUGAAAAAAUUGGGUUUGUGGAUGUGGCUCUGGUGCCCUUCUCUUGCUGGUUUUACGCAUAUGAGAGCUUUGGCAACUUCAGCAUAGAGGCGGAGUGCCCCAAGUUGAUAGCUUGGACCAAGAGGUGCAUGGAAAAGGAGAGCGUGUCGUCUUCUCUUGAAGACCCGCACAAGGUCCAUGGAUAUGUUGUGGGGAUAAGAAAGAAGUAUGGUAUAGAGUAAAAGGGAAACAUCAUGGGCUAUUAAGCAGUGUAGUUUAGUUAAUAUUAUAUAAUAUAUAUGAGUGUUUGGCUGUUUGCUUAAGUUUUUUCUUUGAAAUUGUAUCGUUGAUGAGGGUUGGUGGGUUUGCUGACCAUUCCAUCGUUUCAUGUCACAUAAACAAGUAUUAAAACAAGUUGGAUAAGACAUGCCUCUUGCCUGGAACCUGACAACCUGUUGUACAUCCAUUGGAAAAAAAAAAAGGUACAUAGCGUUAAAACCAAAUAAUAAUGAAAUUGAUCUUAAAACUAAACCUACUUUUUUUUAAUGCCUGAUAGGACAAAGAACAUACAUAUUGUCUUAAUUACUAUCAAAUGACUUGUGUACACUGUACACAACGUUCAUAAAAUGUACCUUUUUUCCUAUAGAAUGAAUGAUGAGUCAUAUACCUAUUCAUAAAUGAUAUACCAUAAUGUGUCAUGCUUAACUAGUACUACAUGAGUAAAGUUAAAGCAACUUGCUCAUGCUUUAUGCUUGUUCCAUAAUUAGAGUCACUUGAACAUGUAACUUAUAAAUAAACAACGGAUAUGUAUAAUAAGUGAAGUGAAACAUUUAUACAAUGUAAAUUUGAUGCGCUUAUGUUUUAAGAUGAUGUACUUAUUUUUCAAUAAGAUGAACCUAUUUUUUCAAAGGAUGUACCUAAGGUUCUAGAAUGAGAAAUGAGAUGUGUGAAGGCCUCAAAAGCAUUCCGAGGCCUAUAAAAGUGAAAGUGCAUGAUAAGAAUAAGCCAAACAAGUCACCUAUACAAUGAAAAUAAUAUGUACCAAUUAUUUUUUAAGGAAGUGUACUUAUUUGCAAUAUGAUGUAUUUAUUUUUUUUAAGGAUAUACCCAAAGUUCUAUGAUGCCAAAGGCCUCAAAUGCAUCUCAAGGCUUAUAAAAGUGAAAACUCAAGCUCAAAAUUCGCCAAAUAAGUUAGUUAUACAAUUUAAAUGCAAUGUAUUUAUUUUUCAGAAGAUGUACAUAUUUUUCAAGACGAUGUACCUAUUUUUCCAAGGGAUAUACCUAAAGUUCUAGGAUAUAGAAUGGGGUGCGGGAAGACCUUAAAUGUACAUCGAGGCCUAUAAAAAUGAAAGCUCAUGUCCAAAAUAGGGCAAAUGAGUCGAGUAUAAUGUACUUAUUUUUUUUAAGAAGAUGUGCUUAUUUUUCAAUACGAUGUAUCCAUUUUUUAAAUUGAUGUACGUAGGGUUCUAGGACGUAGAAUGGGAUAUGUGAAAGCGUCAAAUGUAUCCCAGGCCCAUAAAAGUGAAAGCCCUUGUCCAAUAUAGCUUAUGUCAGUAAAUGCAACCUAGGCCUACAAAAAUGGAAGAUCAUGUCCAAAUUAGUGUAAAUGAGUCACAUACAUAAUAUAUAUAUGGUGUACUUAUUUUUAAAACAAUUCUAAAAAAUAAUUUUUAAAAAUAGUUUUUGAAAUUUGUUUUUUGAUAUUUUGUAAACCAAAAAUUUGUUUUGAAACCUACAAUAUUUUUAAGUUGUUUUCUAUAUUUUAAAAUAUAUUUUAAUAAUAAAUUUUAUAUGUAAUGUUUUAUUUUUAAUCACUCUUCAUGUUUGUAUGCUUACUUUUUAAGUAGUCAUAAAAAACCAAUUGAAGACCACUAAAAUAUAUUUUCAGAAAAUACCAUAUUUUUGUUUUUAAAAUCAAAAACUAUUUUUUGUUUUUUAAUUGUUACAUUUGUUUUCUUGUUUGUUUUUUUUUAAAAUAGAAAAUUAUUUUCGAAAAUAAUUACCAAAUAGAAUCUUAAUCUUUGUCUUUAUCUUUUAAAAGUAAGGAUUGAAAUAUCAGUAAAUAUGGAUAUAUCGAUACUUGGAUUUUAUGGAUAUAUCAGAAAUAUCGGAGAAAUAUCGAUGGAUAUUUUUCAUCAAAUAUCGGUGAGACAAAAAUUAUCCAAAAUUGAUGGGAAUGCUUAGAAAAAUCCAAAGAAUGAUAAAAUAAGCAAGAAUAUACAUGUUAAAGUUAUUUUAUAAGUGUAAUUAACAUAAAUAUGGUCAAAGAAAAAAAUAUCGGUAAACAGUUUACAAUACUUGGAUUUUAAGAAUAGAAAAUAUGAAAUUUGGAAUUGUACACUUAGAAAGUUAGAAUUGAGUUAAGAAAUAUUUGAUUUUAUUAAAUGAAAACAAUUUACACAUAAACAUAAUACAUAUGACAUUGCAAUGGUCCUUAAUACCAAAAUGAAGAUCGAUGUGGUUCCAUCAUAUUGUUAUUGUUAGAUGAAGGGAGUCCAUCUUGUUGAAGACAAUAUUUAUACCAGGACAUGGAGUUUCGAUAGUAUUGAUUGUAUGUAUGAACAUGUCAUGCAUAAAUUUCUUGUGUCCUAUCGACAACCUGUCCAUGGAUGGGAAAUCCAAGGUUUUCCCAUAUGCUCGUUUGAAAUCCUUGUUGUUGUAGCUGAUGUGGAAGAUAGUAUGGCAUUUGUGUGGAAGAAGGAUAGUUAUACCUUUCAUACUCUUCAUCAGCGGAACUUGAAACAUUUUGAGGAAGCUGACCAUAACUCAUUGCAUAAGGGGCAUAAAUGUUGGCUUCGUUUGAUGAAUCACUGAAUUGAGUCUCUACACUCAUCGACUCAAAACUGGCCGACAAUGAGUCCUCGUUGUAUGGCAUCAUCCUUCGUUGUCUUCUUCUAUAUGGCUUUCCAAUGGCUCCAACACCUGAACCGGCUCUUCUAGAGUUGUGGUCUUCAUCUUGAGUACAAUGUGUGAAAUAAUCUUCACAAGUAAAUGUCGAUGGUUAUCCACUUCGUUGUUGUUGUCUAACAUCCCCUUCAUCAUUUCCAAGGUCGCUACCAUCAUUGGUCCUCUCUCCUCUUGAACCAUCAUAACCGGAAGCGGAAGUACCAGUAGACUAUGUCUACUAUUAUGUUCAACACUCAUGGAGUCAAAAGAAGGUCAAGAAGUGACUGUCGGCUAAGAAAUUCCUUGUCGAAAUGAAUCUCUCGUGUCUUGGCUAAAACUAUCAGUAUGAACUUCUUCGGAUAACACCCGAUCAACAUCAACACUUGCUUCUCAAACAUGUGCGACAAUUCGUGGGUCGGGAUUUCCAUCUUCAUCAUCUAAAUGAAGAAGUCUAACCCAUUGAAACAAUUGGUUAUCUUCUUCUUCACCAACCUCAGUUGCAAUGUCAAGUAAAUCGAGGUAAUCUUUCUCUGCAACUUUGUCAUGUUCUGCUUCCAUGUCACAUAUCUUUAGUUUCAUGUUAUAAUAAAAAAAAAACUAAUUAUUAGAGCAUCGGGUAAGCAAGCCGAUUUCUUUGUUUUGUAUGAAUUAAGGCAAACAUGCUCCAAUUUCUUUCACAAGUUGAAGAUGAUGCAGUUUGCGAUAAAACCUUAAUGGUCAACCUUCUUAAUGUAGGAGUGUGAUUUCCAUACAUGAACCACCAUUCAGCUACAACCAAAUAAAUGAUAUCAAUACUUAUAUUGGAAAGCUACAAUAAUAUGCUAAUGAAAUGAAUUAUUAAUUCACAAAUAAUACUCACCGGGAACCAUUUCUGACCUCAAAGCAAUCGCUGCUCGAUCACCAAAUCCUCUUUUUGCAUCUCAGAAUAGUAUAAUCUACAUAUUAAAUAAUUGAAAAUGAAAAAGUUGAGUAAAUGAAAUUCAAUUAUUUAAUUUAUAUUAUAACUCUAAUAAUUUACCUCAUUUCCAAAUUGACUAAGACCUUCUGAUGUAGGAUCUAAUUUCGUAAAGACUUCAUGAACAGCUUGAGGUAGAUCAGGAUCAGUACCAACUCCACGUUUAUAUUGAAAUCUUGGAUUAAGAAAGAAUGCUAGAAUAGCAAAGUAGAAAUGUAAAAUUAGAAUGUUAUGAAAGACACAUAUUAAAUACCAAUAACUUUCGAAGAUGAAUAAUACUUACCUACUGCAUGAAGAGGAUGUUUAAGAGUUCUAUCCCAACGAUCUGCAAUUAUUUCUAAUAUUCAUUCUUUAGCAUUAAGUCGAAUGAGGUUCUCUUUCAUAACUCGAAUCAAUUUGUACACAAAUGACAUUGUAGGAACAACUUCUGAAUCGACAAUGCGAAGAACCCUCAUAUAUUGACACUAGCUCUCCCACUCUUUCCCAGUACGCAUGGUCAAACAUAAGUGAUUCAACUUCUUUACCGAUUAAUGUGCUACUUAAGUUGUGUUGUGCCCAUUCAUCACUGAUAAACACUUUCUUCAAGUUUGCUUUCUUUUUCAAAAGACUGUUGAGGGCCAUAUAAUUGGUUGCAAAUCUUGUUGCUCUAGGACGAACUAUGUCUCCACCACACACCUUCCGCAUCUGCACAAGCAACCAACUAUGGUUAUAAAUGAAGUCGGUUAUCUUUCAAGCCUUUGUAAUCACAUCUGCAACACUCGUCCUUUUAUCGAUGUCUUCGAACAUUAAGUCGAUGCAAUGUGUUGCACACGGAGUCCAAUAAAGAUUGUAUUUCUUCAUUAACAACUUCCCCGCCUUCACGAAUGCCGACCCAUUAUCUGUAACUAUUUGUACCACAUUUUGUUUCCCAACUUCCUUGAUCACAUCCUUCAACAAACCAUAUAUGUAUUUGUUGUCCUUUAUAUUAUUUGAUGCAUCAAUAGAUUUGAGGAAGAUUGUGCUACCUUUUGAAUAUACCAUGAAAUUAAUUAUGCUUAAUUUCGUAGGCCCAGUCCAUCCGUCGCACAUAAUCGUGCAUCCAUAAGUCUUCUACUUUUCUCUUUGAAUAUUGACAUAAGCUUCCUUGUCUUUGUACUCCAUAUCCAAAUACUUGUGUUUGAUUUCAUAAGGAGAUGGUGGUUCUAUACCCAUACCUACCAUCCAUAUAUAAUUAAAGCAUAUAAGAACAUUUGUGGCAAUCAUACUAUAUAAAUAGUAAUGAUAUUGUUAAAAUGAAUACAACUUUUAAAAUUAUAGUAAUUACCUGCUUGUUGUGCACCAACAAUCAUGUUCUUGAAGUUGUGAGAGUUUGCUUUAUUGGGCGGAACACUCUCAUAUAUGAAGAACUUACCGAUCAAACGUCCCAUGGUUUCCUUAAUGGCACCACCUUUGAAAAGAUUUUUCAUAUUUUUCUGUCUUACUGCUGAAGAUUUGUACAAUGAGGGUGCAUCAGGCAGUGAUGGAUCUGAAUAUCGAACACUUUGCGAUUUUCGCAUUUGCCUUGUUGUUGGAUUGGUUAGAUGUGAAGACUCACCUAUUAUAAUUAUUAAAAUUAAACAUAUAUGUUAAUUUAAUAUUAUUGAUAAAGUUGAUAAGAAACAGUAAUAAUUCAAAUUAAUAUUAUACAUGUUUUCCUUUUGCCUUUUACAAAAUGUUCUUCUUGCAUGUUGUCAAUUCCAUUCAGCAGCUUUUGAUGCUCAAACUGCCUCUCUAUAAGCAUGCCGCUCAUCAGGGUGCAUGUCAGCCGGAUACAUAUACACAUCAUCAUCUCCAUCAUCAUCAUCACCACCAAGGUUCUCCUCAUCGUCCUCAUCAGUUACAUGUCUAUGUCUUCUUCCCAUUGUGUCUCGCAGUUCAGAUCGAAUCUCUUCUAUAUCUGCAGCUUUCUUCGCUUUUGCCUUUUUUUUUUUUUGUUCUAGAAGUCAUCUUAUUUCUUGUUUCACUUCUAGAGGCACGUUAGGACACUUUUUUGUAUUUGAAAUAGGGUCUGUAUGUGAUAGGUGAAAUUUAAAACGAGUAAUCCCACCACUCUUUAUUGCCAACCCACAGUAAUUGCAUACUGUUCCAUUUUUGUUUCCUUCCAUAGGUGUACAAUAUUUCCAACAAGGAUCUCGUUGUUACCACUUUCACUAGCCAUUUUCUGAAAUUGAAUUAUGAAACUAAUAUCAAAUUUAAAAUUAUUAAAGAUAAAACAUGUAAGAAAUUUAAUAUUCAUGAAAUUGAUAAGAACUAAUAAAAAUUGAAUUAUGCAUAUAUGAAAUAGAUAAACAUUACAAUAAAAUUUCAAUAUGAAUUAAAUUUAAAUUAAAUUAAAUUAAAUUUGCAUAUUCAUGAAAUUGAUAAGAAUCAUUACUAAUAAAAAUUAAAAUUAAAAUUGAAUUAUGCAUAUAUGAAAUAGAUAAACAUUACAAUUACAUUUCCAUAUGAAUUAAAUUUAAAUUGAAUUAAAUUAAAAUUGCAUAUUCAUGAAUUUGAUAAGAAUCAUUAUUAAAAUUGAAUUAUGCAUGAAUUAAAUUUCCAUAUGAAACUAAAUAUGCAUAUAUGUCAAAUCAAUUUCCAUUCCAUAUGAAAUUUAAUGUUAAAAUGACAAAAUUUCAAAUUAGAUAAUAUCAAUUAAACUAUAUAUAACAAAUAAAAUUGAAUUAUGCAUAAUAAAAAUAAAUUUUAUGAAAGGUAAGACAUACCUUAAUUAGCCUUGACUUGGAGUUAAUCCCCUUCACCACCAAAUUUUCAAAAUUUUAAAAUUUUGCUAGAUCAUAUAAGAAUUUUGAUGUAUGAAAUGCAAUGGAAUGUGGGUAUUUAUAGGAAUUUUUUUGGUCAAAAUAGUCGUUGGAUGGUCAAAUAGCCGUUAUAAAUUAAUUUUAACCGUUUGAUCAAAAUUUGGUUAAAAUUUCACCAUUAGAUACUCAUAUAACCAUUGGAAACACUUCAUAGCCCUUGGAUAAAGUGAAGAUUGAUUUUCCACCAUUGGAUCACAAAUCUGACCGUUGGAAGCCUUUACAAAUACACGGGUGAAAUCUGGGCCAUCAAAUCCUCAAAAAUUCAAAUAUGCCCGUCGGAUCAAAUUCCUUAAAGUUGCAAAAAAUCGCCGAUUUUUUCAAAUAAUCGGUGAUUAAUCCUGAUUUUCUCAAAUAAUCAGCGAUUAAUCCCGAUUUUCUCGGCAAAAUAUCGUCGAUUUUUUCAAAUAAUCGGAGCUAUAUCGAUAAAAUCGCCGAUUUUUUGGGGUUGUCCUCUGGCUUCUCCGCGCGUGCCUCCACUUGCGAUUUAUCUCCGAUUUAUCGGUGAAGCACCGAUAUUUCGCCAAUAUAUCGGUGAUUUUAUCGAUUUUUUGGCGAUAUUCUCGGGGAUCGUUUCGAGGACGACUAAUAUCCAAUAUUUCUCCGAAAUAUCGACGAUAUUUCCCGAUUUUUCAAUCCCUGUUUAAAAGAAAAGAACUAUAAAAAUAUUUUUAAAUUAAAAGAAAAUUAAUAUAAAAUAUUUAAUAUAAUUUUUUAUGAAAAAAUAUAUAUCUAUUUUAUUUUAAUAUAAACAAAAAAUUAUAAAUUUUAAUCAAACCAUAAAGCUAGAACCAUAGUGAAACUAGAACCAUAUUUAAUGAUUCUGGUUUUACGAUGGAGGAGAUAUGUAAGAGGUGAGAUCACCCCGUAUUUUUUAUUAUUUUUUUUAUGAUAGUGAAAAUUUUUGCAAAAACAAAGUUGACAUAUCUUUCACAUUUGAAAGUGUGUGUUUUUUUCUCAUAUGUUAUUGCUCUCAGAGCGAGAGUUCUCCUAACAAAAAUGUAAAAUAAAAAAUAGGAAAAGUCUACAAUACCUCCUUCGGUACCAUGCCUCCAUUUUUUAUCAUCCAUUGGAUGAAAAUGAUUAAAUCUCAGCCAUCCAAAAUGAAAAAGAAAAAAAAAAUUCAAAAAAAAUUCUCCCGGGUACCUUCCCCUCCCGUUCUCUCCCCCAUUCGGCAUCCUUUUCCCCUUUUUCCCCCCUAAUUUGCUCUCUUGCUCUCUUCCCCUCCAUCUCACGCAUCCUCCAUAAGCCAACUUCCUCAGCUCACCCGUUUCCCGCCCCUCCAUAGCUGGGUGUCUCGCGCAUCCUCCAUAGCCGACUUCCUCAGCUCACCCAUUUCCCGGUCUCAUCUUUGUUUGCCGACUUCCUCAUCUUUGUUUGCCGACUUCCUCCAUAGCUUACCCAUUUCCCGCUGUCAUCUUUGUUUUCUCUCCCUUUUCCCGUUUUUCUCUCCACUGAUUGUCCACAGCUGGGUGAAGACCACGGUCGGCUUCAACCGGGCCAACCUCUUCGAGGCCGACAUCGCAGACCUUAUCAAAGACGUCUCCACAGCUAGGUGGAGACCACCUUCGCCGUCAGCCGGGAUCAAAGACGUCUUCACAGGUGGGUGGAGACCACCAUCGCCGUGAACCGGGCCAACCUCCUCCAAGUCGACGUCUUGACCUCAUCAAAGAAGUCUCCCUCAAGGACCGCGAGCUCAGGAUUGUGGGCGAGGUCGGUGCCAAGAUCCGAGUCUUAGACUUCAUUUCUCCCGAUGUCCAGGUCAGCUAUUUUUUCUGCUAGAUUUUUCUUCUCGAAGAUUUUAUGUAAAUUUUCUGAAUUUUUGCUUUCUCUCCCCCCUACCCCUGCAUUUUGUCACACGGAGAAUUUCUGUUCUUUUACACGGAGAAUUUUAGUGGAAUCUUCAUAACCCUUGUGUUUUCUUCAUAUUUUAUAUUUUGUUUAAGAGGUGUAAGGGGGUGUUUUCAGGUUCUAAAUUUAAUGGUUUAAAAACCCGAAUUGAAGACGUAGCUGGAAGAAGAAGAAGAGGACGUGUAGUACUAAGGAAAAGAAAGCUGAGAAGGACACAAUUGUUUGUCACUCAAAAGGCGCUUGUAUCCUAAUUAUUUGGUGAGUUCUAUAUAAAGGGAAAAAAAUGUGAGUAGUAAUUAUGUGUUUUACAAUAUUGUGUCCAUUAUAUUUCAUGUUUUUUGUUAGAUUUAUGGAUUGAUUACAUUAUAGAAAAAGAGUGUGGUUAGAUUAUUGAACAUUGAAAAAAAUUUGUAUGUUAAUUUUGUCAUCAUUUUAAAUGUAAAGAUAUUUAGGGAGGAUGUUGUAGUUGUAAUGGUAUUUGUAUUUUAAUUGGCAUUUGGUUGGUUGUAGUAAGAUAUAAAAAUAAAAUUUAUUGAAAUGUGAAAAAAAACUUAUGUUGAGAUAAUGUGGUGGUGAAAGUAUGUUUGAUUUAUUAUAUUUGAAAUCAUAUUAUAAAAAUUGACUUAAAUGCUUUGAUUUAAUUUUUAGAGCGAAUGCGAUGGUCUUGAAGUUGUUAGAAAUCCAAAGAGGCCUAUCGGCGCUUGGAUACAUUACUAGUAAGGGAAAAUAGAAAUAUGUAAAAUAAUAUGUUUUUUAAUUUAUUUUUUGUGGUUGUUAUUGUUAAAUUUGUUUGAAAUUGUUUUGUAGUAACGAUCANNNNNNNNNNNNNNNNNNNNNNNNNNNNNNNNNNNNNNNNNNNNNNNNNNNNNNNNNNNNNNNNNNNNNNNNNNNNNNNNNNNNNNNNNNNNNNNNNNNNNNNNNNNNNNNNNNNNNNNNNNNNNNNNNNNNNNNNNNNNNNNNNNNNNNNNNNNNNNNNNNNNNNNNNNNNNNNNNNNNNNNNNNNNNNNNNNNNNNNNNNNNNNNNNNNNNNNNNNNNNNNNNNNNNNNNNNNNNNNNNNNNNNNNNNNNNNNNNNNNNNNNNNNNNNNNNNNNNNNNNNNNNNNNNNNNNNNNNNNNNNNNNNNNNNNNNNNNNNNNNNNNNNNNNNNNNNNNNNNNNNNNNNNNNNNNNNNNNNNNNNNNNNNNNNNNNNNNNNNNNNNNNNNNNNNNNNNNNNNNNNNNNNNNNNNNNNNNNNNNNNNNNNNNNNNNNNNNNNNNNNNNNNNNNNNNNNNNNNNNNNNNNNNNNNNNNNNNNNNNNNNNNNNNNNNNNNNNNNNNNNNNNNNNNNNNNNNNNNNNNNCACGGGAUUGAAGAGUUUAAGAAGAAACAACAAAGUGGGGUUUGCGGUUGCUUAUUGUUUUUAAUGGUAAUUAAUUUACAUCAUAGUGAAAUACGAUUUUGUUUUAAUAUAAUUUAUGAACUAACUAUAUAUCUAUGUCAAAUAUACUCGUAGUUAUUCUACCACGAGCAUAUAUCGUUUGAAGAGAAAUUCCUACCGCUAUAUACUCGACCUUCUCCUCGGAUUACUGCUUGGGGAGAUGAUGAAGUAUUGGACAGGAAACGAAGAUUGAAAAAACUUGGUGGAUAUGCAAAUGAGAAUGUAAGUUAUAGUUUUGAAAGUCGUUUACUAUUGAUUUAAGUUUUUAGUGAUUUAAAAUAUGAUAUGUAUUAUAUUUUGAUGAAUACAUUGUAGCUCAAAAUAUGGGUGAUAGAAAAUGAGAUAAGGGAUUGCGUUGAUGGAAAUGCAACGACAAUGGCGAGUGAGAAUGAGGACGAUGAGAAAUUUGUAUCCAAUCUAAACAAAGAUGUUAUUAAACGAGUAAGUGUUUUACAAUAUAUCGUGACUAUCUAUAUUAGCAUUGAACCUUUGUAUUAUGAUGUUAUUAAUCACGUUCGUAUAUAUCACUAGGUUGAUGGUGGGAACUUAAUGGAGAUGGAUAAAACCUUUCAACAAUUAAAGACACAUCUACUUGAUAUGGCUUAUGGUGCAAGUAGUAGUAGUUGUGAUCAAAUUUUGGCUAAAUUUGAGGAGAAUUAUACUACAGUGAAAGGUCUCUUCCUUAGGUCAAGCGGAAAACCUUUGAGAAUGCACGAGGAAGGAACGAAGAAUGACAUGCUCUCAUGCGAGAGAAGUUUGGAAGAUACGAACAAUAUGAAUGUGAAUGAACAUUAUCUUCACACUUCGUCAAAUGAGAAGUUAUGCACCGAGGACUUGAAUGAAAAGAAUGAAGAUGCAUGUGCUACAUCAAUUGAAGUGCAUAUCAUUCCAGACGAAAAUGAAAAUUUUUUACCACUUCCAAUCAAAAGGAGUAGAAGAGAUUAUGGAAAGGUAUGUAUCAUAUAAAAGAAAAAAUUAUUUUCUUUACAACUACUUAACCAUUACAUAGUAAAUAGAUGUAUAUUACUGACAUUUUCCAUAUUAGGAACCAUUACGAGCACUAUGUGGUUAUCCUAAUCAUGUCAUGAAAACACGUUCAUCAAGGGAGAGGAAACCAAGUAAAUUCAAGGUCUCCCCGUUUGUACAGAAAUCAAGGAAGAUGGUAAAACGUGACGCAUCAGAGGUAUAAUACAAAUAGUUUAAUAUCAUUGUUCUUAUUUUUUGAUACUUAACAUAUAUAGUUAAUAAUUAUGUCUUGUAUUCGAAUUAGUCAAUCCCCAUGUCCAUUCGUGAAGACGUGGUGGAUAUUCAAUCAUUCAAUGUACUUCAAUCUCUUGUCGCUGAUUAUGUUUUCAAUAAAGCGUUGUCAAAAAGGUUUGUCGCGUCUAGAACAUUCAUAGAUGUGUUGUUACAAUUUUAGCCUUCAUAUGCUUCCAAUUUACUGAAGUUUGUUUGAACAUAUUAUUAUUUUAGUGAGCUUCUUGUUGACUUUGGUCAUGAACAUGGAGUUCGUGGAGAUUUUGCAUGCUUACGUCCUAGACAAAAUUUGAUGGAUGUUGUAAGUACCUACUUCAUUUAUAUCAAAUGCAUCCUAUAUUAGUUAAAUAAAUUUAUUGAAGUUAUUGUUCAACAAUAGGUAAUAAAUUUAGAAGCCUCAAAGCUAAAUUAUUUUGAAAGACAAUUCAUAGGCAUACGAAGUAUAAGAUGCUAUCUUCCCACGACAUUUUCAGUAAGCUCAUAUUUCUCUUGUUGUUUACUUACAUAUUAAGUACAAUAUAGUAAUGUUCGUAUUAUGUUUUCUUAUUAGCAAAUGAUUUUGUGCGGGAGUCCUCAUCCUGUUUUCGAUAGAAAAACAUCCAUCGUGAGUAAGCACAUUAGUGAAUUGGAUGAUUGCGAGAAGGUUAGUAAUUAUUUCUAAUGUUUAAUUGCAUAUAUGAAAUUUAGAAUAGAUAUUGUUUUCACCUAUAAUAUAGUAGAUUUUUUUUGCCCCAACUCAUAUAUAUUGUUUUUCUAACUUUACAGCUAUUUAUUCCAAUGCAUGACGAAUGCCCUGGUCAUUGGUAUCUGUGCGUCAUUGACUUCAAAAACUCUUAUACCCAAAUUUUGGACUCAUUACGAUCGAAGAAUUGAGACAAGUUCCGGUUUUAGAGUGUCAAAACAGUGGUAUGCUUUCAUGUUUAUAUUUUUCUUCUAUUCUAUUUUUUCCUCUUCCAUAUUUAUUAACACUUUCAUAAUAAAUUAGGUUGAAUUUUGUCAAACGUUCUUCAAAUUGUAUGACAUAGGGAAAGAUGUCUUCCAAUUCUCCAUUGAUUGGGCUCCUUCGAUUCCGACCCAAGAGAAUGGGUUAGUAUGAAUACAUAACUCACAUUACUAUUCUUUUCCUGAGGUAUAAUUAGACAAGCAUUGAAUAAGUUGUUUUGCUUUUCUUUUCUCUUUCUUAGGUGGGACUGUGGAGUGCAUGUCAUUAGACAUAUGCAGAGAUUCAAAAAUGGUGAUCCGAUGACGAGCUCCGACUUUUGUAAUUCUAUGAAAAUACGUCGAGAAAUAGCAUGUGAUUUAGUUUUACACGAGGGAAAUAGAGAAAAACAAACCAUUGUGGCUAUUGUUUGUACAAAGACGUCGACACGAGCAAUGAAAAAAUUAUUAUUAUGAUAUUUGUUAUUUUUCAAAUAUUUAUCAUUUCCAUAUCCACAUAUCGUCAUGUUUAUUGGGAAGUUGUGAGCUUCGAUGACCAUACAUUAUUAAUGAUUAAGUCCAUUUUAUUUCAAUAUCCAAAUACUCUUCUUUCAAUAUGGUCGUCAAAAUGAAAUUGUAAUAUAUUGGUAUCAUUCAUGUUCGACAUGUGUGAUUUUGUACGAUCUUUAACCUAAUCAGAUCUGUAAAUAUUCAUUUAUCUAUGCUAACAAUAUAUAGUUAGUACAUUACUACACUGGUUGACGAAUGUCGUUCAGCCGGUAAGAACCAGUCCAACGAUUUAUCUAUGUCCACUUUUCAUAGGCAUACGCAUUAUUCGUACCGGUUGAGAACAUUCCUCAUAUUUUCAGUUGUGGAAAGUGGUUGAUCGAUGAAGAAAUUGUCUCAACCGGUUGACGAAUGAUUUGACCAGUGGGAACCGGUUGAGAAAUAUAGCAAAUUGGUUGAGGAAUUUGCUCAAUCGGUUCAUGGUUUUUUAACCAGUGGCAACCGGGUGAAGAUGGGCAUCAACCGGUUGAGGAAUUUGCUCAACCGGUUGCGUAUAUUUUUAACCAACAUCAACCGGUCGAUCACUUCUAGAACCGGUCGACCGACUUGGCACAACCGGUUGAGCAACUGGUUGAGCCAUUUUUGACCAGUGGCUACCGGAUGAGGAAUUUCCUUGGCCGGUUGAGAAGUUUUCUCAACCGGUAGCCACUGGUCAAAAAAAUCCUCAACCGAUUGAUGGCCAUUUGCUCAACCGGUUUAGGAAAUUCCUCAAUCGGUUGAGGAUUUGUUUAACCAGUAGCUACCGGUUGAGGAAUUUUCUCAACCGGUUGAGGAAUUUUCUCAACCGGUUGAGGAAAAUCCUCAUCCGGUAGCCACUGGUCUAUAAUGCCUCAACCGGUUGAGGAAAUUCCUCAACCGGUUGCCUCCUGCAAUGCUAUUGUGCACAAAAAGGGUAUGAUAUGAGUUGUACCAAUAACUUUUCACUAUGGAAACAUUCGACAAUGUACCAUUAAGUUCAAUUAUAAGGUUUGAAAUUGAUGGAAACUGGCAUUACAAUUUACCUAACUACGAUUUACCCAUUUUGAGUAAAAUCACUAAAUUUACCUAUUUCAUGUGAAUUACAUCAUAUUGAUUACUUUCCUAUAGUUAACUCAUAACCACCUAAUUGUCAAACUUUAACCACAAUUGAAUUUAAUUAAAUCCGCAUAAUUAACCGUUUUUUUCGACAUGAUAUAAAUGAAUCGGUUUCUCCAUUUACCAAUCAUUUUAUCCCUUGUUAUCAAUUAAAUUAUAAAUGUAGAGGAUAUUGCAUUCUAUCAAUCAACUUGACUCUUGAUCAAAAUUCAAACUUUUCAUUAAAUAGUUAAGUUAAAAGUACACAUUAGUGGAAGUGAUAAUGUCAACUAAUAUAAAUACUGAUUUAAUACCUACCAUCCCUUACUCCGCUAAGGAAUAAAAAAAAGGUUGCAUAUCCUUUUCAUUUGGAUAUUUGUUUGGAUCCCCACCUUCACAUGGUGUUGACAUACUUUGUUCAUGUUGCUGAAAUCCUGCUAUUUGCACAUGCACAUUUCAUUGUUUUUUUCAGCUAUCCAAUUCCAUUCCAAUUAAUUAAACCUAAUCAUUAAAUAAUGCAUAGCUGAAAUUCAUGUCAAAAGUGUUUCUUCAUUCCCGAUCUUACAUUAUUAAGUUCAACCCAAUCUAUGUACAUGUCAGAUGGGUCAUUCGGCAACUGCUCCCUUAACAUUCCCUGCAUGUUUCAAUAAUUAAGUGUUGUCAAUUAUUAUUGAAUUAUAUGUUAUCAAUGUUUGGAAAUUAUAUAACAAGCCUAUUGUACAUACAUGUAAGGUUGCAAAAAUGUCAAUUGAUGAAUUUGUUGAAGGCAUCAUUUCCCUUUGAAUGUCACAUUGGGAAGACAAAUUAGUUUCCUCCUACGUACUCAUAAUGCCAUCAAAACAAUUAUGUUAGUCAUUUAUGUUAGUACACCUACAAAAAUUAAUCUUAGGGGCAAUUUUUAUUGAAUAUGACAUACCAUAUAACCCGGCUGAGCAUUUUGAGGGAUUGUAGCUUCUGGACACUUUCGAAUUGUGUGACCCACUCUUUUACAACAACCGCAUCGUCUUCCCUUUUGAACAUUCAUUGCCACUUUGCCUGGAUUCCCUUUAGUCUUCACAAUAUUUGGAUCACGAACUUGGUUAGUACCUAUCGCUCCAUCUGAUGCUAUUUUCUUCCCUUUCAAAUUAUAGUUAUAGAGUUCCUCCAUUCUCGCCGUCAAAUUUUGUAUUUCAUUUUUGGCCUCUAUAAAUGAAGAUGACGUAUCUGACACAAAGUAGGAGAGCUUGUUGCACAUCGAACUCAAUGAACCAUAUCGUACAAACCGAUCCAUGUUGUUAUUCGUCUCAUUCACUGGUAUUGAUCUUGUAUACACCUUUGCUAACUUUGUCCACCUCUUCAUAAUACAUGACUGAGGAAUCUCUUCCAAAUGCUCCACCUUCAUAACCACCACCAUGUGGCAACAUGGGAUGCCAAUUGACUCAAACAUCAUGUAUGAGCAUUUUAAUGUUACAAUAUCCGGGCAAAAUUGUACUUCCCAAUUUAAGUUCGGGCGUCUAAACUUAGAUAAUGUGUAUGCCCGCAUUGAAUGAUCACUUACAACACCAACCACAAAGAAUAACUCAGCAUUUUUCAUCUCCUCACGAAAUUUAAGGAAAGAUUCUUUUGUGUAUACCGUCGCAGCAUGAUUUUCAAGUAUGGCUAGUUUGGUUGAAAGCACGGGUGAAGAAUUGUUCGACUCGAACUCUGCCUUUGCCUCGUUUUGCCGUAUUCUCAGUAUGGCUCUAUCAAAUUGUUGUACAAACUCAUAGAGUCGCAAACGAAUUUUUAAGAAUCUAUUUAGAUAUGCAUUCAUACUCUCAUACCUUUGUGUGGUUCUCAUCCCUCCAAAGAAAUUUCCACGUAAAUACGCCUCUGCCCAUCUUUUACGUUUCCCAUAUAUCUCGGUCACCCAACGAUUCUCAUUAAGUCCCAAAUUUGCAACCAUUUCAUGCCAAACCUUUUCAAAUUCUUCUUCAUUCCCACGCAUGAACAUGCACCUUGCAAAUAUGCUUGAGAAGUCCUUAAUAUGCACAUUCGUGAAUGCAUUUCGUUGCAAAUGCCAUGAACACAAUCGAUGACACGUAUCGGGUAAUACUUUUUUAAUUGCCUUACGCAUAGCUUUAUCCCCAUCAGUUACUACAGAUAUGGGUUUCUUAUUCAUCAUUGCAUCAAGAAAUGUCUCCAACACCCAUUCAUAUGUCCUAAUACUUUCAUCUAUCAAUAACGCACAACCAAAUACAACAGUUUGAUGGUGAUGAUUAACACCGACCAACACUAUUAGAGGCUUUUUAUAGGCAUUUGUCCUAUAGGUUGUGUCAAAUGCUAGGACAUCUCCAAAACACGCAUAAUCCAUUCGAGCAGUUGAAUCAGCCCAAAACAAAUUUGCUAGUCGACUUUCUUCAUCAAUGUUGAAUUUAUAAAAAAAUGAAGAAUCCAUUUCUGCCUUUCCACACAAAUAAGCCAAUGCCGCUUCUGCAUCACCGUCUUUAAUUUCACUUCUACGCAUUGCAUCAACGUGAUUGUAUAUAUCUUUUUGUGUGAAACCGACGUGCUCAUGUCCCCCUGAUUGUUUUACCAUAUAGUCCAUAAUUUGUGUGGUUUUAACACCUACUUUACACAAAACAUCAACUUGUGCCUUAUCUGGAUUACUUAUUGUUCGAUGAGACCGAAGGAAUUGUGUGUUGAUAGCAUCGACCAAAUUAUGAUUAUGAUCUCCUAUAAAUUCCUUUACAAUCCACUUUCCAUCUUUCCUAUUCAAGCCUACACGAAAUGCAGCUUCACAUCCAACCCUAGUCAAUGAUCAUGGCUCACGAUGUCGCUUGUCAUUUUCAAUAAACUUUGUCACUCGCUGUCCUUCUCUAGAACACACCCACUUUCGAGAUAUUAUAUCUCCAUUCUUGUCUCACUUCAAAUCAUCUUUUCGAAUACUAAAUCCGGCUACUCUAGCUAACAUGUUGUAAAAUGUUUCAGCCUCAUCUAUGCGAUCGAAUUGCAAUUUGUAGACUUCUUCAUCUGAAAUACCCUUCAACACCUUCUGUUUCAAACCGUUUCCACCCAGGUUGUAAGUGGCACCGAUAAAUACAUUGUCAUUGAUGACGUCCUCCUCUUUCACUUCAAACUCCCGCUUGAUUGUUUUCUCCUUCACCGAUUGCAUAAUCUACAUUACAUAAAUAAGGUAAAAAAAUUCCCCAAUAAUACUUUAACAAAUUAUCAUAUCACUUUUGAAUCAAUUGAUUGUAUACUUGAAGAUAAACCGAAUUCGACAACGUCAUCUAUUCUCAUUUUUGGAAAAAAAUUUAGAAUUUGAUAAAUUAUAGAACCGGUGUACACUGCACACGUGAUAAUUUUCCCAUGAUUUUCCAUUUAAAAGGUCAUAUGUUGCAAAAUUGAUACUACUCUGCUAUACACAAUCAUAAGCAAAACUUUUUAAAAUCAUUAAAUAUCACUUAAAAAUCAUUAUGUUGAGGAAAUAACUUAUGACAAAUGCAAGUGCGACACCAAUACCCUCAAAAGAUGGCAUUAGACAAUGAUCCACGUCUGACAUCUAUACAGAAACGCACCAUAAUUUAAAUUGUCCUUAGACAACCAAGUGAAGUAAUAGUUAAGUUCAACUUCGUAGACAUGGUUCUGCUGUUGAGGCUAAGGUUGUAGUGCUUUUGGAGGUCCUUGUGCAAUAACAAUAUUUCAGAUUGUCCAACUUUUUUUUGGUAGCGGAUGGUGUUGUUGGUCUUGAUGAGCAUAAAAAAACAAUCGGUACAUUUGUUUGUUUCCUCGUAACCCGAAUCUACUCUCUUCCCUUGCUCUAAGCUAUUAUAAUGUGGUUGAGCUACAAAUUGACCGGAUGCAUUUUGGUGGUGUUCACAAAAUUUGGCAGUGUCUACCGGUUGAGAAGAUCUAGCGACCGGGCGUAUUACGCCGGUCGACCGGUUGUGGAUUUUUUAACCAGUAUAUACCGGAUGAGGAAUAUCCUCAACCGGUUGAGAAAAUUUCUCAUCCGGUUGCCACUGGUCAAAAAAACAUCAACCGGUUGAUACCCAUUUGCUCAACCGGUUGAGGUUUUUUUAAACCAAUUGCUACCGGUUGAUGAAUUUUCUCAACCGGUUGAGGAAAUUCCUCAUCCGGUCUUCACUGUUUUAAUAUGUAAACCGAUUAGCUAAUUGUUUCUUUUCGUUGUUGAUUUCAUUAAGGCCUUCAUUCCUUAUCAGAACGUUAUAAUGUUGCCCUAUUUAGGCAUACUAUGUUAACAAAAUUUCCAACAUUAAUCUUAGUUGCCAUCUUCAAGGAGUUUGCCAGUCACAAUAAUUAAUACCUCUCAUCCACUUUCUUUAAAAACAUGGAAAAUGACUUUUAUAUAAUUCUAUCUAAAAGCACGGAAGCUUUUGGGUACACCGCCAAACUUAUUCCAAACUUACCCCAUAUUGGGAGUCAAUAAUACACAUUUCUUAAGGUUGAUUCUCUCUUUUUAAGUCAUUUGAAUAUGUAUUACCCUAUAAUUUUGAUGAUGUUGUGAUUUUUACAGCCAACUUAACUCACUUAUAUUAACUAAAUUAAUCUCAACUGUUCAACAGAUCACUGAUGCAUAUUACUAACAAUGUGCUUUAGACAAUCAAAAUCCAAACUCUUUAACAUCAAUACAUACCAUUUAAAAAUCACUAUUAGGUUUUGGAAAUAUUCGCCCAUCCAUUUCAAAGAUGAAGGCAUUAAGCUUAAAAAAUGUAUUAUGGAUUUGUUUACCUAUUCUUUAUUGAGUUAAAGAUCAUACCGUUAAAAUGGAAGGUCCAAGUGUGAUGCAGCUUGACCUGAAGAUUUGUCUUCUGGAUGUUUUUUGUGACUUGUUCUCCAACAAAUAGCAGACCUCGUUCAGAUGCUAAGGUUCUUACAAUACUAAAACUCCCCCAAAUAUAUACUAAGAUAUGUAUGUGGUUGGUUGCUGGAGUUAUUACAUUUUUUAAUAGGCUGCCACAUGUUGAAAACCUACCACCACAAUGGUACACUUAGUGGUUGAUAGUUUGGAUAUUUGCAUCAGUUUUUUAGGUACCAUUAAAUAUAACAUUUAUAUCAGUUGGGAAAGUCAGCCUAAUGUGGAUAUUUUUUACACCCAUUGCAAAUGGAUAUGUGUAUAACUUAACAAAAUAUAAAGGGGAGAUAUGGACUUAAUUGAUAAUAUUGACAUUUGUUACUAUUGUUUAGCCUAUUUAUUGUAACUAUGUUUUGAUACCGUUUCCUACUUACUAUAUUUUUUCAUCAAUUAACGGUAUUUUUUUUUUAAAUCAUGCUUCCUAAUAUAUCCUAUAUAUGAGAAAGGUUAGUUAAGCAGACUUAAUUACGUAAAAUGAGAUAUGUUAUGAUAUUCUACUUAUGGAAAUUUUAAAUAAAUUCAGAUUCAUUAAUUUAUGUCACUCACCAUGGUAUAUCGUACUUAUUCGAACAAUUUUUCAUACAACCAUAAUUAAUUUUAAUGCCCCUAUGGUAGUAUAUGUUAGUUAAUUACAAUUUUAAUCUAAUAGGUCUGACUAUAUCUUAGUGAGUUCAUUACACUAUAUUUUUCCAUGAAUUAACGUAAUUUAUUUUUAAUUAAUGCUUCAUAAUAUAUCGUAGACAUGAGAAAGGUAGGUUAAUUACACUUAAUUACGUAAAAUGAGAUAAGUUAUGAUAUUCUACUUAUGGAAAUUUUAAAUAAAUUCAGAUUCAUUAAUUUAUUUCACUCACCAUGGUAUAUCGUACUUAUUCGAACAUUUUGUCAUACAACCAUAAUUAAUUUUGAUGCCCCUAUGGUAGUAUAUGUUAGUUAAUUACAAUUUUAAUCUAAUAGGUGUGACUAUAUCUUAGUGAGUUCAUUAUACUAUAUCGUACCUAUCAAAAAGAUUAGUUAAUUUAUAUGAUUUAAUUAACUUAAGUUCUCAUAUUUUAUUUUCCUUAAUAUAAAUUUUGUGAAAUUAACUUCAAUUAAUUUCUUUAAGGUACAUCAAAAUAUUUAUUCAUUUAAUCCAUUAUAGGUUUAAUCAGUUCAUAUGGAAACUAUUACAUUAAAAGUGUAGCAAAUAUAAUGUAAGACAUUAAGUUAAUUAAAAUUUAAUUACUUCAUAAACUGGAUGUCUUUCCACGAAGGUCGACCGAUGUUCAAACCAGUUCUACCCCUCAACCCCUUUGUCUUCUACUCCAUUCUUCUUCAUCCUCGCGCGAGACCUGAACCCGUCCGUCUUCCACUUCAGUCUUGUUCAUCCUCACGCAAUACCUGAAGCCCAUCUGAAUACUCAUGCCCCCAAAACGAGCACCGGUCGAAGCAUCCUCACCCGGUCGAAAAGGGAAGAGCCCGGUGGUAUCAAGGAUGCGCGGGACCAACAAAAAGACCUCCGACCGACAACAAGCAAGCGAAAGCACCCACAACACCUUGGAUGGAGCAAAACGCACCACCAACGGUAAACGUCCGGCCGUGGAAGCAAGUCUGGAGGUUCGUAAGAAGGCCACCUUUGAUCGAUCUACGUUCGCAACCCCUGACCUAGCCCAACGAUUUCAUCUUCACUUUGCGAAUCGGACCGUAAUCCCGGGUAGGAACAUUGCUUUUGCAAAGCUCAGUUAUUUCCAUUUCGAUGUGCUUUUCGCGAGAAUGGGUUGGCUUCCGAUUGUCUCCGUCAAUGAGUUCGUUUAUCCCAAGGUUGUCAAAUGUUUCUACUCCAAUAUGACAUUUGAAGACGAAGGACCCAUUACUACCACGAUUAACGGUGUACAGAUCGUUUUUGAUGUUGCUGCACUUUGUCGGAUUUUAGAGAUUCCAAACGAAGGGGUUUGUUUGUAUGAAGCUAAGAAAUGGCCAAAGGUGGAAGGUUUCAAACCUGUAGAAGCUUUACAGAGGCUAUGUGGUUACUCGAGAUCUGAUAGACCAACUUCCCAUUUGUUGACUGUGUUGAGUCGUAUCCUACAUCACAUGAUAUCGUACAUUUUCAUCCCUAAAGGAGGGCACCGAGAUGAUGUAUCUUUCUUGGAGGCUUUUUUGGUUGACAGCAUUCUCACAGAAAGAAAGGUUAAUAUUGGUUACAUAAUUUUCCAACAUAUGAAAGCAUGUUCAAUCAGCGAAGAUUCAGUUCUCCCCUAUGGCAUGUUUAUCACAAAGAUUGUCAAAUACUUCAAUGUCAAUUUGCGCAAUGAGACAGACGGGAAAAAACUCAAAUCAUUUGAUACAUAUGAUCGGGCUUCACUUCGCCGCAUGCAUUUUGUAUGGAAGAAAGAUGGUUCAUGGGCAAGGAAGUCUUCCGUUCCCCCCUCAGAGGUUGAUGUCUCUUCAGACAAUGGGCCCUCCGAGGAUGAAGAAUAUGAAGAUGAGGAUGUACAGGGAAGAACUCAUGCAAAAGCAAAUGUCACACAAAUACCGUCAACAGGUGGUGUAAGAGCUAGGGCGUUAAGAAAUCAUCCUUCACUAAUUGGACCGGACGACUCUGAGGCAUCAGAUAACCUCAAUGCCCAGAUUAAGUCCCUUGGUUCCCGCUUGGAGGAGAUUGUAUUAGCCAAUGACCGACGUUUGACAUCUCUGGAGAAUCGCAUUGAUGGUUUACACGAGGAAGUGAAAGAGGGUAUGCAAGUUAUACGACGCCAACAUGAUGAGAUGAUGGUCUUCUUCCGAUCCCACUUCCCGCUUCAUGGACCAGACCAUUAAUGACCCCUUCUACAUUUUGUACUAGUUUUAUAGUUAUUAAACUUUCAUUCUGUUUUUGGACAUUUGGCUAAUAUAAAUGCCCUUUUGUUAUUAUGACUUCUCGUAUUACUUAUGGAUGUUGUCAUCGGCCAUUCACAUAAAUGGCGUAAAUGUAUUCGCUCAAUGAAAAUGAUGGUAUAUGGAUUAUGUAUUUUCCUCUACAUGUAUAUAUUAUACCUAUCUUAUUUUGUUUAUAGCUCUUGAUAUAUAGGUUAUUUUCAUCUCUUUAAAACUUUUUCUGUAUAUUUUAAAUUGUUGGUAGACAUCACAUAAUUUAGGUUCCCAUUUGGGUGCCAUGAAUAUUUUUGUCUUUUAAAUAUUGAGUCUGAAAUCCCUAGUUUCGGAUGGCAAAAGGAAGGUUAUGACUAUUUCCAUCAAAAGCAUAGAAGAAUCAUGCGUUAGGAAGGUUAUACUCAGUAUUGGUUCAUCGUAAAACGUAUGUAUUCUCCUCCCUUUGUCUAAUCUACUAUAAUGUGUACGAAUAUGGUCAGCCUACUAUAUUUUUUUUUAAUAAAACUUGGGUAUUUUCAACCGGUUGAGGCAAUGCAUCAACCGGUAGCAAGUCCCGCUAUUGGUUUUGGGGGAAAAACAAUGGCAGUGUCAACCGGUCGAGAAAGAGCAUCAACCAGUCGCAUGUUGGUUUGCAAUCGGUAGCCACUGACCACUCACAGGUCAACCGGUUGAAUACAACCGGUCGACCGGUUACUACUUAAUACAAUAGGGUGAGCUAUGCUUGCAUGCUUGCAUGAAUUAUCGUACUGAGUUUUGGCCCUCUGCUUUCCAUAUUUAACCCAUUCUUUAUUUACUAUUUUAAAUACAUUUUUAUUUGAGGUGCAUUUGGAUGUCUUAUGAAAACAAAUAUCUCCAUUGUGUUUUGCAUAGAUUUGAAGUUCAAAUUUCAAUUCUAGAAUGGUGCUAUAAAUGAAAAUGAGAUUGCUGGUAACAGGCCGAUGGCAUUGGAUCAAUUUUGACUUCCCCAUUAAGGGCAUUGUUUUAACUUUUAAUUUUUAAUCCUCACUUGUGAGCCAUUGAUUUCCAUUGUUGUGAGCCUUUAAAUUUCCAUUACACAUCCAACUGCAUCUGUAGUGUUUACUUCUGUCCAACAAUUUGUUUGUUGUUGAUCCUAUUUUUUUCUGUAAGUCUUCUUUGAACCAAAUGACUUAUUUGAGUCGAUUUUAUGUGGUUUGAGGCUAUAUCUAGGUUGUAAACUAAUCUAGAUUAGAGCAAAUUAAUUCCAAUGGAAAUGAUGGAGCACUUAGAAGAGUGGGCUUUAGAGAUUGGUUAUAAGGCGGGUGGUCUUCUGUCUACUUACUUAGGUCUUCCUCUUAGUACCCCUUUUAAAUCUAUGGUGGCUUCAAAUGGAGUGAAAGACAGGUUCCACAAAAGACUAGAUAAAAGAAAAAUACAAUAUAUCUUUAAAGGAGAAAGGCUCACUCUAAUUCAAAACCCUUUAUUUAGUUGUUCUAUCUAUUUUGUGUCUUUAUUUUGCAUGCCAAGGACAAUCAAAUUGAGGUUGGAGUGGAUUCAAAGGGAUUUCCCUUCGGAAGGCAAGGGCUCUUGAAAGAAAAUCACAUUUACCAAGGUGAGCAAUUGUUUCUUCAGAAACAAUUGAAGGAGGCCUUGGGUAUUAGGUGUCUCUCAACACUUAUCAAAACACUACUUUGCAAAUGAAGUUGAACACAUGCAACUGUUAGGAUCCACAUUACCUCCUUAUUUAUAACCUAUGGAUACUAAAUAAAUUGCAAAAUUUUGUCCAGCAGUUUCAGAUGAUGAUGCAAGCUCCGAGUCUGGAAUACACUGAGCACAAAGAUUUGGACAAACAAUGGCACUCUCCUUGGGGCUCCACUGUGGUUGAUGAUGUAGCUCCUGCAUUUAAAACGAUAGUGGAGGAGAAUUAUUUAUCAUCUUCAACAUUUCAUCUAGACGAUACAAACGAGAAUAGAUUGCAAUGGUGGACACAGAGAAAGAACCUUGAUCACCACCGUCUUGGCAAAUUGGUGAGGUAGGUUUUCACUCCCUUCUUACCCUAAGUUUGUAUAUCCAUGUAUGGAGUUACAAAGGUUCUUUAGUUUGCAUUUGGGAAUAGGGGCCAAGUACCCAAUUCCCAUCCAUCAAAAUUCAUUUAUAGAAUUUACAUCACUCAUCUCUCAUCUCUAAUUGUUUUGGAUUUUGACAUGGUAGUUAAAGAUCAAGAAUUUCAACUGUUGCUAUGUUAAUGGUUGCUGAAAGUGCAUAAACAUUAUAGCAUUAUGCACCACUAAAUUAUUUAUUUUAUCUUCUGGAAAUUCAUUUUUUUAAUAGAUUGUCAACAUACCAUGCCUUUUAUAUGCUAAGGACUUGGAAGAUUUAUGGUUGGGUCCCUGGAGAUACUUGCUUUUGGGGGAAUGUUUGGACUGUGAACGCCUGGAUUUGAUACACAAGAAGCUGGUGCAUGAUCUAAAAUGUAAAAGUCAAAUCGAUGUAAAUAAGAGCCUUCUUAAAAUUAUUGUUUGGAGUGCCAGAUAUUCCCAUGGAAGAGAAGAAUGUUUUUUGCAGCUAUGUUUACACAAAGGCCGUUUUAUUGGUAAAGUGGGAUUUUAUGAUGAAAAAACAAUGUGUAAGGUAUUCUCUAACCACUAUCUAUUCCUUGGAUUGAGUUAUGACCCUACUUUUGUGUUACAGACAUAUGGGGCCAUUGAAGUCCAUGAAAUAUGGCUCUUUAUUAAAAGCUAUCUACAAGUCCAUGAAAUAUGGCUUCUUUGUUUCUUGUCCCCUAUGGAACUGCUAUGAAUUCAUCCACCUCUUAGCCUGAAUCUCAUCAAUUUAUGCAUACGUCAGUAUGAUGUAGUGGAAUUUUUAGAACCUAGACCUUAUCACUUUUUUUUUCCUUGUGGAUGAUUCUAAUUAAGUAGCCUAGUUUCAUCUCUUUCUUUACAUUUCCAAGCUACUUCAUCAUUAUUUGUUUUGCUAUGCAUCAACCGGUAGUAGUUUGUUUUGCUACCGGUAACAUGUGCCCAUUUGGGUUUUGGGGAAAAAAUUUGGCAGUGUCAACCGGUCGAGGAACACCCUCAACCGGUCUCAAAUUGGUUUGCAACCGGUUGCCAUUGGCCAUUUUGGGACGUGCAUCAAGAAAUGGCCAGUGUCUACCGGUUGCAUUUAACCGGUCCACCGGUUAAGACUUACUACAAGCUUUUCCCAACUCUUUUCAUUCCUGCUAGCAAUAGAUGGCAGAGGCAAGCUUGGUCAUUUAAACGGUGAUGUGAGCAAACCAGGAGCACCACAAAAUGAGAGUCACUUCCACCAAAUCUUUGUGUAUGCCAAUAAGCACCACAAAAUGCCCGAUCACAUCCUAAACCUGCGAGAGAAGGAAAGAUAAGGAAUGAUUGCAUAUCUAGAAGCACUUCAACAUAUCUCAAAGUAUCUAUGAUCAUCAUUUUAUUCCUCAAGCAAUUAAUUCUACUUCAAAAGAAUAUGAAAAUAUUUUGAGUUUAGAACAAAGGAUACCCUUAAAUAUAAACUUGUUUAUUCCACUUUUACAAAGAUUACAAUUUAAACCAAAGUUUAAAGUCCAAAACCUCGAUUCAAACAACCCAAACUGUUGGUCAAUAUUUACAUAAUAAUAGAUAGUACCCUAGAUACAAGCAGAAUCCUUGCCUGAUUUCAAGAUAGAAAUUGUAAUAUGGAAAGCAAACUCACAAAUAGCCAUCAAGACAACAAAACCAACAAAAUAACAAUAGUGUUGGUAAGUAUUUACAGUGUUGUGGUACACCAAUAUCAUUUCUGGAAGGCAUCAUUCCUCCACAUGCAUGGCAUUGUAGGUGGACAGUGUUAGGGUUGCACAGGAAUCCAGCAUAUUCAGCACCUGAUGUUUGUAAAUGAAUUAGUUAAAAUAUAUUACAAACAAAAAAAUCAAGCAGCAAAACAUCUCAGGACCAAAUAUUCACAAUUCAUAAGAAGCCAUUGAAUGAACCUUACACUUUGUCUAUAUCAUUACUUAAAAAAGAAUUUUCAUGAGAUUAUCUAAAUCAUGCAAGUAACAGUCAUCAAUACAUGAUAGCAACUUCUUGCAGUAAUACAACUAAUAAAUAAUGCAACAGAACAACCAGUUCAGAUUGAUGGUAAGUAAAUGUGUGCAUGCCAUAUUGCAGUCGAUCAAAUCAAUUAAGCAUACAAUUUCCGAACAUAUUAUUCUGUAGAUAGUUAAUAUUACCACAUUGAGGGCAUGGAAACUCCAAUUCUUCACUUUCCUCAUUUAGUCAUGAAUGUGCCCGUUUCCAACCAAUCAUGGAAAUCUUGUGAAUACAACUCGGUACCAGAAGUUGGUGGGAAAACUGAUUUAUUUAUCUCACACCCGACCAGAUAUUGCAUUUGCAGUCAACAUAGUAAGUCAAUUUUUGCACUCACACUAUGAAGUACAUCUUGAGGCAGUUAACACUUUUUAAAUUCAAUAAUAAUAAUAAUAAUAUUAAUUUUAGUUCUUUUCAUAUAUUAAUUUGUCUUUUGUGAUUUUUUUAAUAAAUAAUUUUUUUUUUUUUUUUUUUUGCUUUCCAAGAAUUUUUGUUGAUUUUUUCAUAAGGUCUAUAACUUUAAAUUAAACAAGCUUGAAUAUAUAUGUUUGUAAUAAUCUUAUAUUAUAUUAGUACUUAAACACAAUUGUAUGUCAUUUUUUUAUGUUUAAUAAUAAAUUUUCAAUAUUAAAGUUAGAAUCUAUAAGAAAAUCAACAAAAACAAUAUAUCAAUUUAGAAAUUAUGAAAUCUAAAAUUUAUAUAAAAAGGUAAAAAGAAAAAAUUAUUUAUGAAUAUUAAAUAAAUGAGAUUUAAAAUAACAUACUGGUUCUAUGAAAAUUUUAAAAAUAACUAAGAUAUGAAAAAAAAAAAAAAAAAACAUGUUAAGUGUAAAUUGGUGAUAAUUUAAAAUCGAGACAAGGAAAAGGACAAAAAUCGAUGCGUUGACCGCGUUGACCGUGCCGCUGCCGGUCGAUCGGGUGACUUACCGGUCGACCGGUUCAUUGGGGUGAGAAUUUAAAGCGCCUCCCGCGCCUCAGUUUCUCACUCAUUUCUUCUGGUGCUUCAAGCCUUGUGUCGUUCCAGCUCCCCUCAAGGGAUUUUAUACGCCAUUACAGCCUUCUGAGACGUACGGAUUGGAUUGUGGAGUCUAGGGUUUUGGAUUUUGGGACUCAGGGCUACGCAUUUGGGCGAUUUCCUCCUCAGUUGGCGCGUCAGAGCCUGCGUCAGUGUAUUCCCGCUCUUGAGGCCUUUCAGGUGUGUGUGCAUCCCUCUCUUCAGCCUCAUCUCCUUCAUCUCAGCCUUUCGGAUGGCACCUAGGAGAGAGUCAGCUGCUUCCAGGGCUCAGGGCAAGCGCCCUGCUGAGCCAUCUCAGCCAGAUCAGUCCGAGGCUCGCCGAAAGGCGAGGUACGACACCGCUCUUUUCGCUUUUGUCGAAGACUACCAGAGAUAUAAACAAAAAUUUGCCCAGAAGAAAGUUGUUCCAGGGAGAAGCAUCAAUUUCUCCCAGCUUAAGUACUUUGGAUUUGAGGAGAUUUUUGGACGGAUGAGAUGGCUGCCAGUGGUGACUAUUUCGGAGUCUAUCUUCCCGACUCUGAUUCGCACUUUCUACUCACGGGUGACCUACGGGGUUGGAGGACCGAUCACGUCGACUGUCAGAGGAGUUGAGAUCACCUUGAGUCCGGAGAGCAUUUGCCGGAUUUUCGAUAUACCAUCAGUUGGACUCAGGGUGUAUGAGUCCAAGGUGUGGCCCACGGUGCCGGGAUUUGAGCCCAGAGAGGCUAUUCAGAGGCUGUGUGGACUUGCCGAUGCCCAGGGGAUGGGCAAACCCUCUGCACAUAGCCUGACAGUGAUUAGCCGUAUCCUUCAUCACAUGGUGUGCACCAUUCUGUUGCCACGGGGCGGACAUCUAGACGAGGUAGCCUACCUCGAGGCUUUCAUAGUGGAUUCCAUUUUGACAGGGAGACGGAUUCAUGUCGGGUACCUGAUGAUGAUGCAUAUGAUAUCUUGCUGUGAGAGCAAGACCCGCGUCCUCCCCUAUGGUCGCUUCCUCACGAGAGUAUUCAAGGAUGCCGGGGUUGAUUUGAGCCGCGAGACAGAUUUCGAGGCCCCAACCACGUAUGACACAUAUGACGAGCAGUCUCUUGCCCGUAUGAAGUUUGAGAAGGCCCCUGAUGGCUCUUGGAUCAGGAGAGCUGAGCGACCACCGCCACAGGACCAGGGGUAGGGACAGCUGCAUCCUGUAGAUGAGGAGGAGGCCGAGAUUGGAGAGAUGGAGGGUGGGCUAGACCCUCAGAGGGACUUUGAGCAGAGCAUGCCUGAGUGCGACAUUCCUCCUCCUGAGCCGAUGAUAUCUAAGCCGGCAUACACAGCUGGACCAUCUGAGCCUUCUCACGCAGAGAUACCAUUUCAGGCACCUCACGCACCCGAUCAUGCACCUUGGAUGGAUUUAUCCGCUCAGAUCAGUUCUCUCGGGACUCGUAUGGAGGAGCUUGCAGUCGUCAAUGAUACUCGUUUCCACUCUAUGGAGGAUCGCAUAGAUGAGUAUCAGACCGGCUUCACCUCUCAGUUUGAGCAUCUCGAUCAGAGACUUGGGCAUCUUCAGGAGCGUAUGGAUCACCAACAUGAGGAGAUGAUGGCCUACCUUCGCUCAGUGUUUCCUCCACCUCCGCCUUGAUAUCUUCGAGACCCCCCCCCCCCCCCCCUCCCCUUCGUUUGUUUUUUAUGUUACCAAAGGGUCUAGGGGACAUGAGGACACAUGCAUGACAUUUCCAUAUCAUUAGUCUUGUGUUGUGUAUAUGCGAUAUUAUUAUAUAUGAUAUGAUAUUUUCGGAAUUCACAUUGUCUCCUACUGAAAUUUUGCAUGUCAUUUAAAAUUUUUGCUUUAAUUGAUCCAUGUUUGGAUUGAGGGGGAGAUUUCUUCUCUCCUAGAUAAGGAAGGUUUGUCAUCAUCAAAUAGGGGGAGAUUGUUAGCCGAAGGGUGCCCCUAAUCGGGUUUUGAUGAUAACAAACCAUGGUUAAGUGAUUAAUUGUUUUAAAUUCUCAGGUAUAAACUCGAAAAUUCAUCAAAGGACUAAAUGGAUACAUGAUCGAGACGCUUCAAAGACUUGAGAUCAUAGGAAAUAAAUGUAGGAUGAUAGCACGAGUGCACUUAGGAUGUUCAUACCUUUUCAUGCAUCUUAGAAAACUCGGUUUAUUCUUUAAAACUUGAUUUUCUUUAAAACCAGAUUUUUAUCAAACAUACCUUAGGAAAAUUGAUUAUAAAUUGGUAUAUUAAUUCACCUAAAGACCUUGCCUAAGUAGUACAAAAGAAAGGAAUUUUCAAAAGGAAGGUUUUUGGGGUAAAAAUGCUCAACCGGUCGACUCUAUGUAUCAGCCGGUCGACCGGUUUAUCAUGUCCGGUCCAUACCGGUCGAGGAGUGUCAUAAACACACUCUCUCAUCUAAUGGUUUAGCCUGUCAGCAGCUAGUGUCAGCUGCACCAUCAAGUCAUCCAUCCUGUCUUUCUUUCCCCUAAACUUGGAAGUAUUACAGAGUUGAGAGUUUACAUAUUUUGAGAGCCUCGCUGUAAGUCACUAUAAACUAAUUCUUUUCUCCAUAGCUAUUGAUCUAAUACUCUGAAACCUAGACAUAUGACUCAGCCUCAAAUCUAGAUGUUUUAGGUCACCCCUCCAUGGAGGGCAGGAAAAUAUUCUAGGUACAUUAUCCCAGGGCAUAGUUGUGACCACACUGAUCAUUAUGCGAGAAGUCGUAUUAGAGUUGUCAUUUGACAUAAAGUGAGGAUACUUUAGUAUCAAAAUUAUUCAUUUUUUUCGGCAAUACCUGGCAUUAGCACUUUCAUUUUGUGAAAUGGCAUGAUUUAAGACACUUUCUGGAGUCACUAAUUGCAGAAGAGUUAAAAGUCCUUUGUCUCAUGGUUUGGCAUGGGAGGGUUAGGUUUCAACUUAGACACUUAAAAGAACCGUGUUGGUUUCCUGAAUUUCAACAAGAAAACACAUUAUACGAACUCAAAUAAUGUGGCAUAACACAACAAAGUAGUGUAAGUCCAGCAGAAAAAACAAGAAAAAAGGACAUGAAAGCCAUUUAUGUAUCUCUCCCAUAUCACUCACUGCACUGCACCUCUACUAACACUAUCUCUUGUGGCCCUUGCUUUGCCUUUCCCUAGCAACAACUUAAUGCCCACAUUUUGGUAAAGUUUGUGAGUAGAGCUACUAAUAUUCUCAAAAACUUUUCAUGGAUUAGUAGUGAAGUUCUUCAGUACUUAAUUUGUUGUAUAAAAUUUAUAUUUUAGUAAAAUACCCGAACUUGUUUAAUUGUGAAAAUCCAAAAUCAAUCAAAUUAAUAUAUUAAUACUAACGGGUCUUUCGUAAAACUUAAGACAUUUCAGUAAUUAAUUUACUUUAUCAAAUUUAAGGUUUAAUAAAGUUCAGAUAUCGAAGAAUAAAAAAACAUGGUACUAAGUUUUCUUUUUUUUAAAAAUAAAAUAAACAAAUACAUGUUAAAUUAAAGUUCUCUAUUCACAACAACCUAGGACACAUAUUCUAGAUAUUUCUGUUUUUAGUAAAAAAUCUCAUCUCUUGCAAAACCACAAACCUGAUGCAACAGCAACAUUAUUGAAAAUAACAAAAAAGCAAUGGUUAUUAAAUCAGAAAUGAAAAGGAAAAUAUUAAGGUUCACAUGAUCUGUAAUUAACAGAGAGGGGUUUAUGCUCAUUCCUAUAUAUACCUAAAUCCACAUGGAUCAAAGUUAGGCCAGACGUUGUCAUACUGAAAAUAAAUGUAAAGAUAAAGAACUACGACCAUAGAGUUUGUUUGGAAAUGAAAGAAUGGCAACUUCCCUUUUCUUGAUGAUUGGAGGAACAAUGGUCAUUUCUGCAUUUUUUGAUUCUCUGAUAGUUACCAACCGGUCGACAAAAUGCAUCAACCGGUACCAAGUUGUUUUGCUACCGGUAGCAACUGAUCAGUUUGGGUGGUGCAUGCAGAAAUGACCAGUGUCUACCGGUCGAGUGCACAGAUCAACCGGUUGACAUUUACCGGUCGACCGGUUAAAUAUUGAUACACUCGGGUGCGAUAUGCUUGCCUGCUUGCAUAAAUUAUCGUACUAAGUUUUAGCCCUCUUGUUCCUUAUUAACGCCAUUCCUGAUUUACUAUUUUAAAUACAUUUUUUGCACAAUUAGAUCAUCUCAAAUUAAUUUGUGUAACUUGUGAAUUUAUGGUAUGGAAGUUCCUUAAAGGAGACUUCAGAUUCACCUCCCCUUGUUGCUGCUGCGUCUAUUGGGCUCAUGGGCCUCGUUGGUGUAAAUGUGGACAAAUUUGUGGAAUUUUUGGGAAUGUUGUAGAAAUUUGGUAUGUGGGGUGUUGACGAAUCUUUGGGCUUUUAUUCCAAUAAAUGCAUGAGAUUGAUUUUGAUCCAUGAUUAUAUAAAGAGGGAUCCAAGCAUAGCAUUGGUUAUGGUUUUCAACUAAUCAAGAUAUUUAUAGAAAGAGAUGUAUAAAUUUUCUUGUCGUAUUUUAUAAAUUUGGUAACUUCAUUUUUUGGAACUGGUGCCACUCGGCUUGUGUAUAUAGUACAAAGACCUUUGCAUGCCUGAAGUUAAAAUUGAAUAGAUUCAUAUUAGUCCACUUAGAACACUAUCAGCAACAUGGGUACUAAUAAUAUCAAAUCAGCAAUUUCUCCAGUAACAGAGAAUGGCAAUGUGUGUGUGUGUGUGUUUGUGUGUGUGUGAGAGAGAGAGAGAGAGAUAGAGAGAGAGGACACCUCAUUAAUGUCACACUGCUUAUCAGCUUCAAUAUAAAUACAACCCUUUACAUGAUCAACUAAAAAAACAGAUAUUAUCUGCAGCUUAGUUCCUAGUGACUGCAAGUCAACGUAAUUAUUCAUAAGACAGAAAGCUGAAAGCCUCUCCCGUCCAACCUACAGCCAAGAUAUUCUUCAGGUCAACUCAACAAAUGAAAGGAGCGUAAAAGGGGAGGGAUUGCUCAAGGCAUUCCAAAUUCAGAUCUCAAAUUAUUAAACAUUGUACCAUGCACUUGACUUUCCAGAUCGUUGGAUCCUUAAUAGAAGGGAUAAGCGAGUUUCUGUUUCACUGAUCUUUUCGUCUCAUAAUCAUCUUCAGCAUAGGUAACAAAUUUAGAACCAUCCUUGUAACAUUCUUCUACCAUCUUUUCAAGAUCUUCCUCACUCAGCUCCUUUUCAUUGGGAAAAAAUGGAAGGUUAUGGGCUUUUCCAGCUUCGUUCUUAACUUUUUGGCCUGUAUUGAAUUAAUCCGCUUCAAAAUCUGUUCCCAAAGACGGAAAAACAGAAUUAUCAAUCUAUAUAACACAUUGAUAGGAUGAAGUAAUGCAAGAUAAAUUAUCAAUCUUAACUUUUAGCCCUGUAUUGAAUUCAUCCUCCAAAAAAUAUGUUCCCAAAGACGAAAAAACAGAAUUAUCAAUCUAUAUAACACAUUGGUAGGAUGAAGUAAUGCAAGAUAAACCAAAAUUAUCCCCUACCGUAACAACGAAACAUGAUGCCUAAACAUCACCACAUCCACUAAUUUUUAUUUUUUAUAUAAGUAAUAAAUUUUCUUACCAAAUGCGUAAAAAGAGAGCAAGAGUAUCAGCACAUCCAUUAAUAUAAUCAAUGGACUCUUACCAAAUGCGUAAAAUAUGCUUGUGUAUAAAAAUUCAGACUAGCCAGCUACAAUUUACAUCUUCCAUGGGUUUUCAUUUUUCCUCGACCAGUACUCGACCGGACGCCAUAAGCCAGUCGACCGAUCCAUCAACAGGUUGACCGGUUGAUCUAAUCCUCGACCGGUUGAGUUUUUUUGGCCUCGAAAAACCUAUUUUCUAAUUCCUUUCUUUUCUAAAACUUAUGGAAGGUCUUUAGGUGAGUUAAUAUGCGAAUUUUGAAUCAAUUUGCCUAAGGUCUAUUUGAUAAAACUCGGGUUUUAAAGAAAAUCAAGUUUUAAAUAAAAAACCGAGUUUUCUAAGGUGCAUGAAAAGGUAUGAACAUCCUAAGUGCACUCAUGCUAUCAUCUUACAUUCAUUUCCUAUGAUGUCAAGUAUUCCAAUCGUCUCGAUAUUGUAUCCAUUUGGUCCUUUGAUGAAUUUCGUAGUUAAUACUUGAGAUUCUUAAACAUUAAACCAAUUAGUUACUUAACCAUAGUUUGUUAUCAUCGAAACCCGAUUAGGAGAACCCUUGGGCUAACAAGCUCCCUCUAUUUGAUGAUGACAAACCUUGGUUAUCUAGGAUAGAAAGAAAUCUCCCCCUCAAACCAAUCAUGGAUCAAUCAAAUGAUAAGCAAUGUAAAACACGAAGAAUCAAUUGAUAAAAAUAUCAUAUCAUAUCAUAUAUAUAUGGAAAUCUCACAUGUACAAUAAGAUAGAUAUGACAUUGAUAACAAUGACAUGCAUGAGAGACUAAUAGAUCCUAUAGAUCGUACAUCCUAUAAAUAUCUCCCCCUUUGGCAACAUAAAAAAGAAACGAAGGGGGAUCCCAAACACACUCAUGGCUGAGGAGGUGGUGGUGGAAACACAGAACGUAUGUAAGCCAUCAUCUCCUCGUCAACGUUAUUAUCUUUGUAAAAAAGGGGAAAAAAAUAAUAAUUUGAUAUUAUUAUUGUAACAUGUACAAAAUUAAAUAAAAUGAAGUUAUUAAAUAAAUUAAUUUAAACUAUAAAUAUUAUAAAAAUAAUAAAUUGGAUUUAGAUUAGGUUUGGGUUGUUCGAAUUUUUAUUUGUAUUUCACCUUAAUUAAGUUUGGGGAAAAAAAAUUGUACCCUAAGAUUAUAAAUAAUUGUCGAACCUUAUCCAAAAAAAGGUUGGCUUAAGUCAUGACAACUUGCCUAAAUUGCACCUCCUAAUUCCGAUUAUCCAAAAAAGACUUGAUGGCCUAUUGAAGAAAAAGGAUCAAAUCUCAAUAACCCCUUAAAUGAGGAUUCAACAUAAGAUCAACAUUUUUUAAACAAGUAAAUUUUGGAACGACUUUGUGGGAUUGAAAGAAACUAACAAAAACCAACAAAGGUACAAAAACUGAUACAUAUGGUGGUAGCAUAAGGUUAUAUAAUUCAUUAGUUACUUCAAAUGCAAUUAUUAUGAUCUGUGCGAACGGUCAUUUAUUAUUUUAUUCAUGUUCGUUAUGUCCAUGUUGAAUUGUGUUAUUUAACUAAAAAUUGCAUCAAAUGCAUUGGAAGCCUAUGUCUAUACAUGAUAAGAUUUGGUUUUUUAAGGAUCACAAGGUUCGUUUGGUGUUUGAUGUCAGCUUGUCUGUGGGUAAGCCUAUGUCUUGAUCUAUGUUGUUGGGAAUAGUAACAAAGAGAAGUCAUAUGUCAUGAUCUAAUCGCCAUAUCACAUACCUAAAUGAAAACAAAAUGAAUUUUAUUAACCGGUCGACCGGUUAACUUCUGCCGGAUGCGUACUUUUCUCAACCGGUAGCCACUGGCCCUUUUGGUUGCUGGAUUCUCAAAUGGACAGUGGCUACCGGUUGAGAAAAGUAAGAAACCGGUAGAAGAUAACCGGUCGACCGAUUAACAUUUCCUUGUAUAAGUUGUAAUUUGUUUGGAUUCCCCUAUAGAUUUGUGUAUUGAUAGGCCAUUUGGUAUUUUGCUACCUGUAAUUGCUCUUUCUUUGAAGGGACAUCAUUGUGGUAAACGAACAUCCAUAUAAACCGACCUUUAGUUGCGUGCAAGCGGGUAUAUAUUUUAUGUGAAGGUGCGUUAAUAAUAGAGGUCGAAGUGAUUAUUAAUAAUUUAAACUAUAAAUANNNNNNNNNNNNNNNNNNNNNNNNNNNNNNNNNNNNNNNNNNNNNNNNNNNNNNNNNNNNNNNNNNNNNNNNNNNNNNNNNNNNNNNNNNNNNNNNNNNNUAAACUAUAAAUAUUAUAAAAAUAUUAAAUUGGAUUUUGAAUCCUCACAUUCUUCGUACCCUCCCAAUUCUCCAAAAAUACUAAAAAAUUCAAAAAUAUUAAAAAAUUAACAAGGGUGCGAGGAAUGUGAGGAAUCUUCACAUUCUUCGUACCCUCCCAAUUCUGCACUUAUUUGGACUUUUUAAAAAUAUCUGGGGCAUCAUAUGGCUUGUAUGUUGUUUAAGUUGGUCCGUUACACUUAGAAGGUGGUCAAAUGACAUCCGGAAAAAUCGAAAUCCAAAAAUACUAAAAAAUUCACAAGGGUACGAAGAAUGUGAGGAAUCCUCACAUUCUUCGUACCCUCCCAAUUCUCCACUUCUUUGGACUUUUUAAAAAUAUUUGGGGCAUCAUAUGGCUUGGAUGUUGUUUAAGUUGGUCCGUUACACUUAGAAGGUGGUCAAAUGACAUCCGGAAAAAUCGAAAUCAAAAAAUACUAAAAAAUUCACAAGGGUACGAAGAAUGUGAGGAAUCCUCACAUUCUUCGUACCCUCCCAAUUCUCCACUUCUUUGGACUUUUUAAAAAUAUUUGGGGCAUCAUAUGGCUUGGAUGUUGUUUAAGUUGGUCCGUUACACUUAGAAGGUGGUCAAAUGACAUCCGGAAAAAUCGAAAUCAAAAAAUACUAAAAAAUUCACUACAUUUUGAGGGUGUGAAAUGGAUCGUAAAAUUCAAAGUGAAAGUUUACCGAACAAAUAUGUGAGGGGUUUAAACUUUUUUGGAUUUAAUAUGGCUUGGAUAUUGUUUAAAUCAGUUCAUUAUACUUAGGAGGUGGUCAAAUGAUUUCCAGAAAAAUCCAAAUCUAAACAUACUCAAAAAAUUCUGUACAUUUUGAGGGUGUGAAAUGGAUCGUAAAAUUCAAAGUGGAAGUUUACCGAAAAAAUAUGUGAGGGGUUUGGAUUUCCAUAUUGUUAGUAAUUAUACCUUUUUUGUAUUUUCAAUAUUUCAACCAAUUUUUUUUGAAAAGCUAAGAAAUCUCAAUUAAUAAUUAGUACACAACUAAUUUAAUUUUAAUUUGAUAUAUAUUUUAUAAAAUUUAGUUCUAGUUUUCCUAUUUUUUUAAGUUCAUAAACCAAUUAUAUUGCUUUUCACACUUCAAAUAUUAGUCAAAUUUUUUUCAACAAAUUAUUUGAUGUUAAAAUAAAAUAAAUUUACUUUUCCUUAAUUUCUAAAUUAUAUCACCAAAUUCUUUAUAAUUUUUUUUAUUUUAAAUUUAAUUUUUAUGUGGGGUUUAAUCACUUUAUAGUACAAAAAUAAAUAAACUGUAAUUUAUUUUUUCAAAAUUUUCUUUAUUUAUUAUUUGAUGUUAAAAUAAAUUAAAUUUACUUUUCCUUAAUUUCUAAAUUAUAUCACCAAAUUCUUUAUAAUUUUUUUUAUUUUAAAUUUAAUUUUUAUGUGGGGUUUAAUCACUUUAUAGUACAAAAAUAAAUAAACUGUAAUUUAUUUUUUCAAAAUUUUCUUUAUUUAUUAUUUGAUGUUANNNNNNNNNNNNNNNNNNNNNNNNNNNNNNNNNNNNNNNNNNNNNNNNNNNNNNNNNNNNNNNNNNNNNNNNNNNNNNNNNNNNNNNNNNNNNNNNNNNNUUCAUAAACCAAUUAUAUUGCUUAUCACACUUCAAAUAUUAGUCAAAUUUUUCUCAACAAAUUAUUUGAUGUUAAAAUAAAUUAAAUUUACUUUUCCUUAAUUUCUAAAUUAUAUCACCAAAUUCUUUAUAAUUUUUUUUUAUUUUAAAUUUAAUUUUUAUGUGGGGUUUAAUCACUUUAUAGUACAAAAAUAAAUAAACUGUAAUUUAUUUUUUCAAAAUUUUCUUUAUUUAUUAUUUGAUGUUAAAAUAAAAUAAAUUUACUUUUCCUUAAUUUCUAAAUUAUAUCACCAAAUUCUUUAUAAUUUUUUUUAUUUUAAAUUUAAUUUUUAUGUGGGGUUUAAUCACUUUAUAGUACAAAAAUAAAUAAACUGUAAUUUAUUUUUUCAAAAUUUUCUUUAUUUAUUAUUUGAUGUUAAAAUAAAAUAAAUUUACUUUUCCUUAAUUUCUAAAUUAUAUCACCAAAUUCUUUAUAAUUUUUUUUAUUUUAAAUUUAAUUUUUAUGUGGGGUUUAAUCACUUUAUAGUACAAAAAUAAAUAAACUGUAAUUUAUUUUUUCAAAAUUUUCUUUAUUUAUUAUUUGAUGUUAAAAUAAAUUAAAUUUACUUUUCCUUAAUUUCUAAAUUAUAUCACCAAAUUCUUUAUAAUUUUUUUUAUUUUAAAUUUAAUUUUUAUGUGGGGUUUAAUCACUUUAUAGUACAAAAAUAAAUAAACUGUAAUUUAUUUUUUCAAAAUUUUCUUUAUUUAUUAUUUGAUGUUAAAAUAAAUUAAAUUUACUUUUCCUUAAUUUCUAAAUUAUAUCACCAAAUUCUUUAUAAUUUUUUUUAUUUUAAAUUUAAUUUUUAUGUGGGGUUUAAUCACUUUAUAGUACAAAAAUAAAUAAACUGUAAUUUAUUUUUUCAAAAUUUUCUUUAUUUAUUAUUUGAUGUUAAAAUAAAAUAAAUUUACUUUUCCUUAAUUUCUAAAUUAUAUCACCAAAUUCUUUAUAAUUUUUUUUAUUUUAAAUUUAAUUUUUAUGUGGGGUUUAAUCACUUUAUAGUACAAAAAUAAAUAAACUGUAAUUUAUUUUUUCAAAAUUUUCUUUAUUUAUUAUUUGAUGUUAAAAUAAAUUAAAUUUACUUUUCCUUAAUUUCUAAAUUAUAUCACCAAAUUCUUUAUAAUUUUUUUAUUUAUUUUAAAUUUAAUUUUUAUGUGGGGUUUAAUCACUAUGUAGUACAAAAAUAAAUAAACUGUAAUUUAUUUUUUCAAAAUUUUCUUUAUUUUUCUGUUUCAUAAAAAAAAAUUCCUAAACAAAAUAAUUACAUUAAACAAAUUUAUAAUUGGUUAAUGUAAUAAAUGUAACAAUGUGUGUUGCAUGAAAUUAUUUCCCAUGGCAACCGGUUGGGUGACUUGAAGAACAGGUUUUGUUUUUUUUUUCUUUUUUAAAUGCCAUGUGUCUCUACCCUAUUAGCCCAAAAAAAGUUGGUAUGGUACCGAAAAGUGCUUUUCGGUACCGUAGCAAGACCCUAAAAAAUAACAUAAAUAUAUUUCAUGGAGUGGACCAGUGUGUACUUAGUUGACCAGGACUGACGACAGCAAUGACGUGGAAUGAUCAAAGCAAUGACCUCUCGUGGAAGCAACCAGAGCAUUGGAUGCUCCAUAACCAAACUUUACUUCACUCGCAAACUUGUGGCACAAGCUCAUUAGUUUUAGUUCUAUUAUUUACUAGUAAAAUUAAAAUUUAAUAAGUUUUUAAAAAUAAAUAAAUGUGCUGAUUUUUUUUUAAUGCAGAUAUUAUAUAUAUAAAAGCUAAAUUGCUUUCUAUUUGAUAAUAUUUUUGGAUUUAAAUAUGAUAUUAAUUUUAAAAUUAAAUUAUUUUUGUACAAAUGAUAAAAAUACAGGAAUAUGUCAACCGACAGUUUUAAUUUUUUUUUUUAAAAAAGUGAUUACAUUAAAAUGAGAUUUGAUAAAUAAAUUCUAGACUGAUAAAAACCAUAUAGAAAAACUUAAAAUAUUGGAAUUCUGGAAUUCUGGAGAAAGAAAGAAAACUGAGAUAAUGAUAUAAUAUGGAAGGAAAGUGCAUGCUGAGAUAAGGAAUGAGCAUCACCACCUCCUAGAAAUUUCCAAGGUUUUAACCCACUCUCUGAGAUUUGCUAUAAAUACUUGACAAUUUCCCUUGGGUUGUUCAUCAAUACUUGAGUCUGAAUCUUAUUGAUCACAGUAGGAGCAAUGGCAGACGAGAUUAUCUUGUUGGAUUUCUGGCCUAGCAUGUUUGGUAUGAGGGUCAGACUUGCCCUGUCAGAGAAGGGCCUCAAGUAUGAAUAUAAAGAGGAGGACCUUAGGAACAAGAGCCCUCUGCUUCUUGAGAUGAAUCCAGUUCAUAAGAAAAUCCCGGUUCUGAUCCACAAUGGAAAGCCCAUUUGUGAGUCUCUGUUAAUAGUUCAGUAUAUUGAUGAGGUUUGGCACGAUAAAUCUCCGCUUUUGCCUAGUGACCCAUACCAGAGAGCCCAGGCCAGGUUCUGGGCGGACUACGUAGACAAGAAGGUAUGUCUUUGCUGUUGAUUUAAAGCCUUUUUUUUCCAUUGAUUCAUGGCGAUUGGCUCAGAUUUUGAUAAUGAUGAGGGAUUUGUCCAAAAUGCUGGGUUCUUCUUCACACAUUCUCUUCUGACAUUAAGUUUUGUGGGCCUUGGGGUCUCAAACUAGAACUUUACUGAUUCUCUUUGCUGCGUGUGCAACAAGACUCCACUUUGCAUUUCUGAUGUGGGUUUUCAGUUCUUUGUUAUAUAUGGGUUUUCAUUUCUUUGUUCUGCUGAAUCUGAAGUCCGUUCUUUCCACCCAAAAAAGCAGAUCUCAAGAAUGCCUUUUCCCUCAAGAAAGGGGAUCCAAAAACCAGUUUUUACAGCACAGUGUUUGGUUUUUUUUUGUUAUCCUGAUGUUCAACAUUUUGCAGAGCAGUUCUUUUAAUACAUGUUUUGUUGCUUUGAUCUCUUUCUUCUCAUUUUCUAAAACCCACAUUGAGGGGAAAAGCUUUAGCAAAUGAUACAUUCUUUCAACUGAUUCUGAUAUUUUUCUGCCACCGGCCCUUCAUUUAAUAUGUUCCUAGUAUAUGAGAUUUCUAUGCUGAAGGGUCCUUAAUAAACUUGUCCAACUAUACAGAAAGUUGAAACUUGAUGAAAUGCUCCAAAAAAAUAACCCUUUUCUCUCUUUGACUUUAUUGUUUUCCACAGCUCUAUGAACUUGGAAGGAAGAUAUGGUCAACCAAAGGAGAAGAGCAGGAAACAGCCAAGAAGGAAUUCAUAGAGUGCCUCAAGCUUCUGGAAGGAGAGCUUGGAGAGAAGCCUUACUUCGGCGGUGAAAAAAUUGGGUUUGUGGAUGUGGCUCUGGUGACCUUCUCUUGCUGGUUUCAUGCAUAUGAGAGCUUUGGAAACUUCAGCAUAGAGGCGGAGUGUCCCAAGUUGAUAGCUUGGACCAAGAGGUGCAUGGAAAAGGAGAGCGUGUCGUCUUCUCUGGAAGACCCACACAAGGUCCAUGGCUUUGUUAUGGGGAUGAGAAAGAAGCUUGGCAUAGAAUAACUAUUUUGUAGUGUUGCUGUGGUAAUAUUAGAUAUAUGUGAGUGUUUGGCUGUUUGCUUAAGUUUUUGCUUUGAAAUUGUAUGGUUACUAUUUGCAGUUGAAACCCCUUUUGGAGGGUUGGUGGGUUUGCUGGAAAGAAAUGUUUUGAAUUUGUUUUCAUUUGUUUUGGACUGGACUAGAGAGGUGUUCUUUGUAUUCCAUCAUUUCGUGUCAUAAACAAGUAUUAACACAAGUUGGAUAAGGCAUGCCUCUGGCCCUUUAUGGUAACGUACAAAGAUAUCAUGGGCCUACAAAGAUAUCAUGGGCUACAGAAUAGGUUAGGGCCCGCUUUUUAAAUCACUUUUUUUAACUAAUAUGUUUGGCAAAAGAUGUUCUUCAAUAAUUUAAUUCAUCUUCCUUGUCGGUCAUUUUAAGUAACAAGAAAAUGAAAAAGAAAUAAGAGAAAAGUUCAAUCACGUUCCAUAAUGUUUGUUUUUGAAAAUUGCUUUUAUGUUAAACAAACAAAAAUAAUUUUUUAAAAUUUUAUAAAAUUUUAUAAAAUAAGGAUGUUUGACAAGUUAUUUUGAAAUUGGUUUUUCUUUUAAAAAAAAAUAAUUUUUCUAUGUUGAUUUUGUAAAAAUAUUCUAAAUUUAAUUAAUAGAAAUUUAAUUGAGGUCUUAUAAAAAAUGAAAUUAGUUUUAAAUUAUAAAUAAAUUAAAAAUAGUAUAAUAUAUCAGCGUGGACCUAUUUUUUUUACGUGCGUCCUCACUCGACGAUGAGACUCGUUUUUUAUUUAUUUGGUGAAAAAUAUGAUUUUUAGAAAAAGAUUUGAAGUCCUCAUUGAUUUUUGUUUUAUUUUUCAAGGGAAAGACAAAAUAAAAAAUAAAAACCCUAAAUAUGAUUUCUGAAGGAAAAAUAGGUUUGUGAAAAAUCGAGUUUGGGUUUGGGGAUCAAGUUACUUAUUAGGAAGGUAUGGUAAUGAGUUAUAACACCCCUCUAAGCUCGUUUAUGUACGACCUCUACUAAAUGAAUUAAGGAAAUUGUGACAAUUAAUUAAUUAAUUAUAGAUACCAAGAAAAAUAAUCAUGUAAAUGAGUAUGUACAAGUCAAGGUGAAAAUUAAUAUACACAAAAAUAAUGAUGAAAUCUAAUUACAAGAAUACACAAAAUAAAUAACAAAAGAAUUAUGCAAAAAUAAUUUAUUGAACUAAAUAAAAAAUAUUAAAAAAAUAGUUUUCAAGAAAUUUCGAAGGAUUUUAUUAAAAAUGAUUUUUAAUUAAUGAUUUUAAUUUUUUUUAUUUACAAAAAAGAAGUUUCAAUUUAUUUUCAAUUAAUGAUUUGAUUCAAUUUCAUUUGUAUUUAAUUUUUUUUAAAAAAAAAGUUAUUUGCACUUAUUAUAUCAAAAGAAUUUAUUACAAAAUUUCAAUUUGGUAAUAAAAAUGAUUUUUACUUGCUUUUACAAAAAAAAUUACAAUUUUAUUUACGAAAGUAUUUCACUUUGUUUUAAUUUGAGAAAAGUGACUUAUACAAAUUAUUAAAAAGAAUAUAACUUUAUUUGCAAAAGAAUUUUUAAUUAAAAAUUAAUUUUUGGGACAACUUUAUUUACAAAAUAAUGUUUGGACAAUUUUUAUUAAACAAAUAAAUUUUUGGACAAUUAUUAUUAAAAAUAAUUUUUCAAAUUCUAUUAAAAACAAUUUUUUUGGAUUUUUCUAAAAGCAUUUUUUUGAAUUUUUAUUAAUAAAAAAAACUUUCUUUUAUUAAAAAGAAUAUUUUAAAAUUAUUAUUUUAUUAGAAUAUAUUUACUAAAUUAUUCCUCUUAUUUAAAUGACAAUUUUGAUUUGUUAAAUAUUUAAUUCUGUAUAUACUCAAUAAAUAUAUACAAACUAAUAUUUACAAGAACUAAUAGAAAUAAAAUCAAACAGAAGUGAGCAAUAAAACGUGUACCCAAAUAAGGUUACAACAAGCUUAAUGUCUCUCUACAACUUUUUUAUUCUUACUUUCUUCCAUGAAAUUUUGUGCUUCACGUGUUAUAAAUUUGUACUCAGCCAAUAGAAUUGCAGAAUAGGCCCAUGCAAAAACAAAAAUAGUUCAAAUGUAAAUAUCCAAAGGUGUACAAAAUCCUUAACAAAUAUUCAAACUCAAAUUCAAAUUUCAAAUUAGUUCGAUAAAUCUUGUCAAUCAAAAUGGACACAAAUUAACAAAUAUAACCUAACAAAAACAUCUCACAUGCUAUAAACCUUAAUCCAAAAAUUUCAAAUUAAUAACCAAAAUACAACACAAUUAGCCAAGCCCAAAAUAUCACAAAAUAAAAUAAAUUCAAUUAGGCCUAAAUUUAAUAUUUCAUAAUCCAAGCCUAAUUUAAUAUACACCAUAAUUGUCCCACAUCCAAAUUAAAUAGUUCAAAUUGGUGAAGCUCAUAUCAAAUAUUCAAGUCAUCAAUCAAAUUUCACCCACAUUGUGGACCCAAAAUCCAUACCUAUAUUAUGGGUCCAAAAUUCAUAUCAAUUAACAAGCCCACAUUAAUAAUACACAUGACCAAAGAAAAUAAUUUCCCAAGCCCAAUCCAAUAAGCCCAAAUAAAUAACAUUAGAUUCAAGUCAAAAUCAAUUACUAUGCAAACAAAAAUAAAAAAAUAAAGAUAAAAAAAUGAAAAUAAAAUAAAGUAAAAAGGAAAUUUACCCUUUUUUUUUAUAACUAUGGGUGGUAGGAUUGCUAGUCGGCAGUGACUGGCAGGUAAUGGCGGGUGGUGGCGGGCAGUGGUUGUCGGUAGUGGUGGGUGGUGGUUGGCCGGUAGUGGCCGUGGAGUGUGGGGAAGGGAAAAGGAAAGAAAAAGGAAGAGAAAAAAAAAUGAAGGAAGAUGGGGAGCGUGUGACAGUGGGGGUUUGUGGAAAAUGGCAGUGUAGAGAGAAGGACUAUGAGAAGAAGAAAAAAAAAAUGGAAGAGAAAAUGGGGACCAUCGUGUGUGAUAGUUGGGGGGAAGAAAAAAAAAAGAAAAAAGGAAGGGAGGAGAUGGGAGAGUUGACCGUGUUUGGUGUGUGGGUCGUGGAGCGGUUGUUGUGUUGGAAGGGAGCCUGAAGAAGAAAUGAUGGAGGAAAAAAAAGUGAAGAGAGGAACGUAGAGAAAGAUGAUAAAAAAAAAAAAAAAAAAAAAAAAACUUGGAGGGGGUAUGGGGAGUGGCUUAGACAUGUAGGAGAAGGAAAUGGGUAAGGGAAGUAGGUGGAGUGGGUAGAAUGAGGGGAAAGAGGAAGAGAGAAGAGAGAAGAGAGUGAAAAUAAAUAAAAUUAAAUUAAAAAUAAAAAUAUAAUAAUAAUAAUAAUAAUAAUAAUAAAUAAAUAAAUAAAUAAAUAAAAAUAAUAAUAAAAAUAAUAAUAAAAAUAAUUUAUAAAAUAAUAAAAACUAAGAAUUAAAGGGUGUAAGUGGGCUAAACAAUUAAGAUGUAAUCAAAAUUUAAAUCUAAGGAUAAAAUUGAGCUCAAUAUCAAUGUAAAAAUAAAAUUAGGACAAAUUUUGGGGUCUACAAUCGGUUUUCAUAUAUUAUUUCUUAUGGUGAUUAGAUCUAUUUACUAGGUUGUAACUUAAAAAAAAAAAAAAAAAACCUAUUAGUAAAUUCAAUGUUACUUGAUUUGAAGUUUAUUCUUUAAUAAAAAAAUUUAUAAAAAUAUAAGUAUGUAUAGAAAAAAAGUAGACUCAUUAAAACCCAAUUUUUAUCCAUAAAUUUUUAAUAUUAACCACUAUUUAAGUUUUAAGUUAUUUAAAAAAAUUACUAAACUCAUUAAUUAAUUUAAUGUAUUAAGUUUUGUUUAAUUUGGAUUUUAUUUGUCUAGUGAAAUAAAUAAAUAAAAAAUAUAGUUUCAUGUAGAAGAGAAACAAUAGAGUCAUUGUAGAUUAGAACUAGAAGUUAUAAAAAAUAUGUAAAAUAUAUAUAAUUAUAUAGCUGGAGUUUAUAUUAUAAAUUAUAAAGUUAAAAAAAAUAUAAAAAACUACCUUCAAUGUAAUUUCUAAUUUCUUUUAAUUAUAAUGUAUAAUCAAAAGUUAGACAAAACAAAAUUGUACACUCAUAAGUUAAAUAAUGAAUAUUUCAUAGCCUCAAAGGUGUAUACAAUUUUACACAUUUUUGUUAUGAUAAAAAUAAUCCAUAGCCAAAAACUAUGAAAGCGAUCAAUUCGUAAUUUUUAUUUUGUUAAUAUUACAUGAUGUUCAUGCAUUUUUUUAAACCAUAUUUAUAAUAAUCCUAUAGCGAUAAAAUAUAACAAAAUCUUAAAUCGUUAUAGUUUUAUUAUAGAAUAUUAACUGGAUAAAUAUUGUUAGAUAAUUUAAUUAAUUUAUUUUAAUAAAUUAAAAUAUUAUUCUAAUAAAAUUAUUUCAAAUAUUAUUCUAAUUUAAAAAUUACUAGACUGUUAAGUCUUGUUUAAUUUUGAGUUCAUUUAUAUAGUAAAAUAAAAUUGGAAAAUAUGAUUUCAUGUAGAAGAAAAAUAAUAGAGUUGUUAUAGACUAAUUUUCAUCCAUAAAUUUUUAAUAUUAAUUACAUCAUUAUUUGAGUUUUAAGUUAUUUCUAGAAAUUACUAAAUUUAUUAAUGAAUUCAACACAUUAAGUUUGGUAUAAUUUUAAGUUUAUUUGUCCAAUGAAACAAAAUUGGAAACAAUAAAGUCAUUCAAGUUCAAUUUUUGUCCAUAAAUUUAUGGUAUUAAUUGGAUCACUAUUUGCAUUGCAAUUUAUUUUUAAGAAUUACUUAGACUUGUUAAUAAAUUCAACGCAUUAAGUCAUACUUGAUUUGGUGAUUAUUUACUAAGUGAAAAAAAUUGUAAAAAUAUGAUUAUAUGCAAAGAAAAAACUAGCCAAGACAUUUAAAUGAAUUUUGGUGUAUGAUAUUCUAAUGUUAGUGAGUUUCAUGACUUUAUAGUACUAACUAAAUCAAUUUUUGACUUUUAAGUUAUUUUUAAAAAUUAGUAAAUUUUAUGUAUAAAGUAUAAUUUGAUUUAGAAUUUAUUUUAUCAAUGAAAAUUUUCUUAAAUUAAAUGAAAUUCAUUAAAACACAUGUAAUUUAAAAGAAUAUUAUAUUUGAAGAUUUUUAGUAUCGGUAUUAGAUCGUAGAAAGAGGUAAAGAAGAAUGAUAUCAUCUUCAAUCUUAUUUGCUUUUUAUAGUUUUUUUAAAUUCCUCUAUAUUUUUCUUUUGCUUUUAAAAAUUGAUGAAAACAAUUUCUACUUGUUUUCUAAAAUAUGUUUUUUAUUUCACUUUAUUUUUAAAAAUUACAAAUAGAAAACAACUAACAAACAAUUUUAUGAAUUUUUAAAAAUAGUUUUUUUUUUAAUUUUUAAAAACAAAAGUUAUUUUUUAAUGAAAUGGCCAAAUGGGCUAAAAACUUUUCAACAGCAAAUUUUGAGAAUUUGGGUCAAGUGCUAUGUGCUCUUGUACAAUCCUCCACUAUUUUUGGCCUUCAUGUCACCGUUGUCAACUUUUACUGUGAAUAAGUUCACGAGCUUAUCUUACUUUAUAUUCGAGAGCAAGGAACAAGAUCUUGAGAGAUGCUUGGUUUGUUUUUUUUUUUGUAUUAAAGAAAUAAAAGAGUAUUCACUUACUAUUCCAUUUUGUACUAAAAAAAUUUGAUAAGACAUUGAUAGGCAUGUAAAUAUUAUAACAUUUAAAUAAACUAAAAAUAUUUUUGUUAUAUUAUUUUAAUUUUAAUUUUUGAACUUUCAUAUUAACGUUCGUUUUAAUUUUUCAUAUGAUUUAAAAUUGAUCAUGGUUCUAACCUUUUACUAGGCUAAAAUCUUUAACUUUUUUAGAUACAUAAAAUAGAAAAUAAAAUAUAUUUUCAUAUAAAUUGUAUUAACAUUUCUUUAAUUAAUUUUUAUAUUUCUUAAAAUACAUAUAUCUUAAAAUACAUAUAUCUUUUUUAAAAAAUAAGUACAUCAUUUAGAAAAAUAGGUACAUCUAAUAUAAAAACAUGUACAUUUCAUUUCAUCGGGGAUUCUUAUCCUCAUUCAACCUAAUUCGGGUGUGGGAUUUCACUUAUGUAGGUCUCAGAAUGCAUUUGAGGUCUUCUUAUACCCUAUUCAACAUGAUAUAACUUUGUGUACAUGUUUUAAAAAAAUGUAUAAAAGUUUAGAAAAGUAUUUACAUCUAAUUUGAGUUGAAUCAUUCCCUUAUUCGACCUAUUUUGAAUCUAAAUUUUAACUUCUAUAUACCUCAUGAUGCAUUCCCAAACCCUAUUUGGCAUGGUAGAACCCUAGGUACAUAUGUUACAAAAAUAAGUAUACUCUUAAGAAAAAGUACAUCUUUUACAAUAAUAACUAUAUUCUUAAAUAUAUAUAUAUAUAUAUAUAUAUAUAUAUACAUUCGUAAGAAAAAUGCAUAUAUUUGAUUUGAGGUUAACCAUGAUCCAAUUCAACCUAAUUUGGAUAUAAGAUUUGACUUAUAUAUGCCUCAAAAUGUAUUUUAUGCCUUCCAAAACUUCAUGUAGCAUGGUAGAAGUAUAGGUUCUGAAAAGGUGAAUCUCAAUAGUGGAAUACACCUAAAGGGGGGUUGAAUAGGUGUUUUGACCAAUUGAACAAAAUCUCAACUCAAAUUAGUAAACCUUAAAACUUCUUGAAUAUUUUUCUUCUCUUCACAAAGUCUAAAAAACAAAUUAUAAAUCACAUGAAUAUAUGAAUGCAACAACACUCCCCAACAAUAUUCAAAUGAAAUUCACAUGCACAUGAUCUAAUACUCCUAAACCCAAAUCAACUUAAAACUAAAUUAUGAUAAAAACAAGAUCAAUAUACAUCAAAAUAUCAAUGAUUAACAAUCAGAAAUGACUUCAAAGAUAAUUCAUAGCCAUUUCUCUUUAUCAUUCAAUCAAAUACUAGACAAUCAAAAUUAUAAUAAAUUGUAGAAACUAAAAAAUGAUGCGAAGAAGAGAAAACGAGACAAUGAGACACCAUAAAUUUACAUGGAAAAUUUUUGAAGAGAUAAAAAACCAUAAGCCUACUACCAAUCAAAAACAUCCACUAUGAAGAAUAAAAACUAAAUACAAGGUUUUACCUAGCUCAAGCCAACUAAUCCUUCCCGGACCACUUGACUAGUACCUUCACUUUUAGUUUCUCACAUUCUUAUUUUAGAGCACAUUUGGAGUCUACACCAAGCUCGAUCUCGACCUCUUAUUGAUUUCACAUAAGAAAAAAAUGGGUUUUUGUGCAAAACCAAGAGAAUUAGAUAUGAAUGUUUCAAAAAUCAACCCAUGCUCAUUUUCAAAAAAUCCAUUUUAAAAAAAUUUCUUAGAAAACUUGGAUGGAUUUUCUUCGUAGGUAAACACCCUUAAAAUGGUGAGGAAAGAAAAAACUCUCUCACAACUAUUGUAGUCACCACUUAUAGAGAUGGAAGAGAUUUGAUUUUAAAUGAGAAAGAAACCCUUAAUCGAAGGGUUGAAAGUUGAUCUUAAAAAUAGGUUGGUUGGAUCAAUCUGCCUCUACACUUAGAUCAAUCCAAAAACAGGGGAACAAAAGCCUUGUGCUAAUAAUAUUUCUCCUUGUUUUCUUAACUCAUUUAAAGAUGAAAAAACAGGGUUGAUUCAUAUUCAAUCACCACACUCGACUAUAUACCUCAGCCUCUUAGCAAAGUUUUAAUCUUCAAAGGUCAAGUAGUCCGAAGAGGGAUUUGUAAACUGAGUUAGGGGACACUUAGGAAUUUUGUUUGAAAUUACCAACCUAGCUAAACACUCACAAUCUCCUCCUUUGGCAAUUCUGGGACAAAACUCUUUACAAUACGAAUGAGUACAAGUAAGUAAGUCCCACCCAACUCUCAUACAAGGCCACACACUCACUCAAAACCUCACCAAAGGUGCUACAAAUCCUAUAAAUAAAUCUCAAGAAAAAACUUUAGGAGCACUUGCACAUAUUACCAAGACACUUCCAUAAGUUUCGAAUGAAUUGAUACACAAAUAUCCACAUAUAUCCACAAAAUCACAUGUCUAAAGAUAGUUAAUAUGCAUUCAUGAGUUCAAAAACGUGUCAAAUAUCCAUCGAUAUACAAAAAGGGUGAUCAUGAUCAACAUAUCAAAUAUCCAAAGCAACAAAACACAAAGAAACCGUCAUGAUCAACUACAUGUCAUAUCAACAUCCAUGUAAAAUGUAAAAUGUUUCCUAAUUUUUGUCCCAGUAGGAGACAAAAGGUCAUAAUCUCCCAUUUUCUAUCUUAGAAAAAAGACAAAUGAAUGAGAAUUCAAUAGCAUAAUAUCUCACAUCCAAAUCAACAAACAUCCACUUUUCAACAAAAUGUCAAAUACCCAAAAAUCAAAUAUUCACAUAUUACCAAGUAUCCAUAUCAACAUUUCAGAAAAAAAAAAUUAUAGGAUACAAUAAUCUCCUCUUGACUCCCAUCACAAGAUAUAAGAAUCUCUCCCUGAAUCCUAUCACAUGGUUUCAAUUAAAAACUUUCAAAAAAUAUGCUUUAUCACCAUGAAAAUAGAUUUCAAGCAUGAAAAUUUAUGGAAACCACUCAAAAUGAACAACCAAAGCCUAGGAUUAGCAUUCCUAGAAACUAGGAACACUCCAAGGCAAAAAUGAAAUCUCAAACUAUUAAAACUAUUGUGAGAAGACUCCACACACAAAAAAUAAAUAAAUAAAAUCCAAAUGAGACUAAGGGCUGAUUGGAAUUUCCAGAAGUGUAGAUUGUGUUGUGUUGAUUGUGCUGUGAAAAACAUAGUCCUAAGGGUUGAUUGGAAUUUCCAACUGCUGGAACGGAAUCCCAACUACACAAGAUACAAUCUAGUGACGCACAUUGGAGGUCCUAGCCAACACAUACUAUGUAGAAGGCAAUUUCUGACAACACCGACGCACUAAGAAGAGACACACAGACCGACGACAUGAGUUGGACAACACAACAAUUCUAGGCUAUUCGACGAGGCUGUUUGGUGGGAUUGGCUAGACUUGAAACGCUCACCAGAUAGGGAAGUCUGACUAUAAAGGUUUCCAAUGGUAGAGACUUAUGACGGUAGUGGUCGGAAUGAUGAACCGACGAUGAUGGCUAAAGAGAAGCAUAGAGUAGAGAAGUUUCCUUCUUUAGAACAAAAGACCUAGGGCUUUUGAAAGAAAUGAAUUGGGAAAAACUGAUUUAGGGAUUUUGACUUUUUUACUUUUAGUUACGAAAAUACCUCUCAUCCAUUAAACCAUAUGAGCAUAACUAGUUGGGGGCAAAAAUGGAAAUUUUCACAAAUGCAUAAGUGGUAUCGAUUUUAGUGGAUUGAUCUAGCUUUCGAUUGUGCUCUCGAUGAUACACAGUCACAUAGGUUUGAACAUACCAAAUUUGAAAAAAAUGGUUAAGUGUGUGAGAGACAAGUACUAGGUGGUAUCGACCUUGGUGGAUCGAUCUAAGAUUCAUUCAAGGGCUCUCGAUCACUACAUUGUGCACACAAUGGAUCGAUCCACAAAUUCAAUAGAUCGAUCGACACCUAAUUGAAAAAUGACUUAGGCAAAAACUAUUGAAAAAUCACAAGAAAUACACCAAUAGGCUUUCCAAAAACUGAAAAUUGAUUGACCAAAGAUGAGAUACAAUAGGAUGGCAUACUUAUAUUUCAAUUAAUGAGUUAGAGUUGAUUCACAUUGAACAAAAAUGCUUCCAAGAACUUAACAAUGGACAAAAUUAAUAAACAUAGAGAUUGAAGUACUUUCCAAAUUUAUCAAAUGAAUAGGUAAAAAACAAAUGAUUAUCAACACUCUAACAAGGAAGCUUAAGCUAAAAAAAAAAACUCACUCAUGACACCAUAAAACGGUGAAAAUGUUAAAUAAUUUCCACUUAUAAACCUAUAUUCAUUUAUGAGCCAAAAAUCAUUUUCAAGAUACUCUUCCUUUCUAGAGAAAUUCAAGAUAAUGUUCCAAGAAGUCAAUUUGCAUCUCUCUUGGCUAGAUUUCUGUUUAACAUGACCUAAUCACAUCCCUUUAAUAAAAUUCAUACACUAUUUGCUUUUCAUAUUUAGCAUUGAAAGGAAUACAAAGCUAUAAGUUUUACCUUAAAGAUCAGUUUUUGACUUGAGGAUCUCUAAGGACGCCUUUACAACAUAACAACAUAAGAGAUGUCCCACUUUUGCAAGGGAGGCUUUUUAAUUCUUGAAACACUGCCAAAGAGCCAUAUCCAUUCCGGGAAACUUCAUAUUUUCUUUUUCUUUUCUUUUUCAUUUUUUUUAAAAAUUUAAUUUCAAAGAGAGGACAAACAAUCAAAGAUUGAUAUUCUCAACCUCUCAAGGAUAUUCCAGGUGUCUUUACUCACUCUUUAAUGCUCAUUAAAUGGGUAUAAGUUUACAUUUAGACUUUAAAGAGCAUUAUUCACCAUUUAUGCAAACACAAGGUCUAACAAUGAGCUUUUUCUCACUUAAUAGAAAUGAAGCUAAUCAUUUGUAGUUUAUCUAACCAAAUCAAAAUAGCAAGGAUUCAAUAUCAUGUUUAUCAAACAAGCCAUGGAGAUAAAGACAUCUUGAAGCUUUUAAGAUCAUGAUGAGUUAAUUUAACUUUUAAACAAAAUGAAUAAGCAUGUCACUCUCAUGAACUCAACAAUUGUUGAAAAUUUAUGAAAAAUGGAGAAAAGAUUGAACCAAAACAAAAAGAACAUCAAGUUGAUGAUAUUUGGGAACUUAGGAAGACAACUAGGACUCAAGAAUAUGCAAGAGGAGUCCUAGACAAGUUUUAGAGGCAAUUAAAUAGAGAGUAUAUAAACCUAUGGGGCUCCUAAGUGAUUCAAACCUAGAAAUGUCCAAAGGUUUAGUAACAUUGUUAGCAAUUUGACUUUCUAUAGGGAAAAACUCUAGUGAAACAACCUUGUCUUCUACCAAGUCUUGAAUGCAGUGAUGCUUAAUGUCCACAUGUUUUUAUCUAGAAUGAAGAACACGGUUCUUUAACCUAUCAAUAACAUUGGCAUCAUCAAAUUCCUCCCCAUCAAUCUUAACUUUUACAAUGGGAUGCUCUUUUUCAUUUUGCAACAAUCUAUGUUGUAGCAAGUGAUUAACACAUACAAUUUUAGAACUUCCACACACAAGAGAAGAGGAUGAAGGAGAUUUUUUACUAACAACAUAGCACUUAUCACAAAUUCUCAAGCCCAUCAUCACACAUACAUCAUUCAAGUUAAACACCUUGCAAAAAUUUUGUGAAAAUUUUACAUUGAACUCAUUCCCACACAUUUGGCUUAUUCUAACUAAGUUAGCCUUUAAACCUUCAUAUAAGACCUCUUCAAGAUUAGGAAUUUCGGGGGCACAAAUGGUACCUUUGUCUUUCACCCUAGCCACAUUACCAUAUCUAAAUGUCACAUUUCCUCCAUCAAAUUCAGUGAAUGAAGUGAACAAAGAUUUAUUUCCAGUCAUAUGAUGUGAGCAUCUACUAUCAAGAUUCCAUGAGUGUGACUCACUAGCUCUAAGUACGUUAUGGACAACAAAACACUUCAACUCAUUCAUUUACACCCAAAUUUGUUUAAUAUUUGAGACUUGUCUUUUCAUUCAAAGUGCUUCCUUUCAACUCACCAUUAUGAGGGAUCUUUGACCACUUCUUGGACACUCUCUUAUUCUCAUUCAAUAACCUAUUCUUCAAAGUAUAACAUUCAUUCAUUAGGUUGGUAAAUUUCUUUUGAAAAUUAUCAGACAAUCUUGCAUAACAUCUAUAAAAAAUGUGUCCCAUUUUGCCACAAUGAUUGCAAUGAAACUUGAUUUGAGAAUGAGUUUUCUUAGGAGAUUAUUUUUCACAAGGCUUAACAAAAAUUGUUUUACCACUACUUGGAGUAGUAUUUGCAUCAACAAAUCCUAAGCCUUGUUUAUCAAAAAAUUUACACCCUAAAUUGAUCAACUCAUUAAGUCUCUUAGAGCUAGGAUGUGACUCUUCCUUCUUAAGACUUAACCCAUCCUUGAACAUUUGAUUCACUUUUCAAUACAUAAUAUUUUUUCUUCACUUCCAAAUGUUCAUUUUCAAGAAAUCCAAUUUUGUCAAGCAAAACCUUAUUUUCUCCCUUCAAGACAUCAAUCUCAUUGAUUAGAAUAUUCUUAGAAGCCUUCCACUUGACUUGUUCUUGUUUAAGGCUCAAGCACUCCUUAUACAAAGUCUCAUAUGCCGUGUCAAAACUCAUGUCAUCAUCAUUGGAGUCACUUGACUCAUGACUCACUUAUCACUUAAGACCUCUUUCUUGAGUGGUUUCUCAUUGACACUUGCAACAAAGGCUAUGAAGUUAGUGCAUUUUUCACUUCCAUUGGAUUCUUUUUCACUUGAUUGACAAGAUUCUAUGUUGCUUCAAGUGACUUGCAUGACCUUCUUUCCUUUUUUUCUUUGAGGGACAUUUGGCGGCAUAAUGUCCAUUUCCUCUACAUUUAAAGCACUCAAUCUCCAACUCUUUUUUCACACAUUUCUCCAUAUCCUUCUUUUUUUUCUAAUAGAGUUCCUCCAUUUUUACCAUCAUUUGAUUCUUUCUUGGAUUUUAUGAAUUUCAUGUACUUCUUAAUUUUUUUAGUAAACUUAGUAAGCACACCAUUUGAUAUUUUCUCAUCAUCCUCACUUUCGGAACUUAGGGACUCUUCUUUAAUAGUUUUUAAAGCAAUUCCCUUAGCUUUCCUAGGUGAUACAAGCGUCAUCUCAAAGGUUUGGAGGGAACCUACAAGUUCAUCUAUCUUCAAGGAAUCCACAUCCUUAGACUCUUCAAUGGUGGUAACCUUAGCUCUAAAUCUCUCUCGAAGAGAUCUUAAAAUUUUUCUAACCACCUUAGUGUUAGAGACGGAUUCACCUAGAUUGAAGUUAGAAUUCACUAUAUCCAUCAAUUUUGCAUGAAAUUCUCCAAAAGUUUCAUGGUCAUCCAUCCUAAUGGUCUCAAACCUAGAUGUCAACAUUUGAAGCCUGGACAUUUUUACGACAUUAGUUCCUUCAUGAGUCACUUGGAGGAUAUCCUAAGCCUUCUUUAACCAAAGUGCAUGUGGCAAUCCUAUGAAAUUCAUUCGUACUAAUGGCAUUGAAGAUGGAGUACAUGGCUCUAGCUUUAUUCUCACUUGCUUCAUUUUCACUUCUAUCACAUUCCAAUUUUGGCUUGAUAACAUUUGUUAGUUUACCUUCUCUAUCUAACACCUUAGGUGGAGACUAACCAAAUUCAAUGACAUUCCAAACUUUUUCACUUUGCAUUUUGAGAAAAUAUUGCAUUCUCACUUUCCAAUGAGAAUAAUUUUCACCAGUUAAGAAUGGUGGUCUCCUAAUGGAAGAUCUCUCUUAAUGAGGUUCCAUGAUUGAGAUUUAAGGACCGAAAAUGAUUUUUUCUUUAAAAACCCUCUCUGAUACCAAUUGAAAAGGUGAAUCUCAAUAGUGGAAUACACCUAAAUGGGGGUUGAAUAGGUGUUUUGACCAAUUUAUCAAAAUCUCAACUCAAAUUNNNNNNNNNNNNNNNNNNNNNNNNNNNNNNNNNNNNNNNNNNNNNNNNNNNNNNNNNNNNNNNNNNNNNNNNNNNNNNNNNNNNNNNNNNNNNNNNNNNNAAAAAAUGCACACUCUCUCACAAAGAAUGUAAAUUUUUCAAAAAAAAAAAAAAAAAAAAAACUUUCUUUUAUGGGGGGGCGCGGUGCUAUACAUUCUUAUAUAGGUAUAUAUAUAAAAAUAUAGAGACCUCACAGAGAAUGUGAGGGGUUCCUGUUCCUUGUGGGUCACUUCUAAAUCCUACACACACCCCUAAGAAACACACACACACUUUUUUUAUGGUGAACCACGACAAUAUACAUCCUUAUUUGGAUCUCUCUAUAAACAUAUAGAAGUGUGGGAGUGUGUGAGGCUCUCCCUUAUUUGAGUGGGCGUUUCUAAAACCUAUAUACAAAUUUUUUUACAUAUAGAAAUAUGAGAGGUACACGUCUAUUAUCUUUUCAUACCAUAUCUAUAUCACUCACUCUCUCUCUCACGUUUGUUUUGUGUGUAUAUAUAUAUAUAUAUAUAUAUAUAUAUAUAUAUAUAUAUAUAUAUAUAUAUAUAUAUAUAUAUAUAUAUAUAUAUAUAUAUAUAUAUAUAAAGUAUAUCCUUUUUAGGUUGUGCCUUUGAAUUAUUCCACUUNNNNNNNNNNNNNNNNNNNNNNNNNNNNNNNNNNNNNNNNNNNNNNNNNNNNNNNNNNNNNNNNNNNNNNNNNNNNNNNNNNNNNNNNNNNNNNNNNNNNCAAAGAUGAUUCAUAGUCAUUUCUCUUCAUCAUUCAAUCAAAUAGUAGACAAUCAAAAUUAUAAUAAAUUCUUGAAACUGAAAACUGAUGCUAAGAAGAGAAAGAGAGACAAUGAGACACCAUAAAUUUACAUGAAAAAUCUCCGAAGAGAUAAAAAACCAUGGGCCUAUUACUGAUUGAAAACAUCCACUAUGAAAAAUAAAAUCUGAAUACAAGGUUUUACCUACCUCAAGCCAACCAAUCUUUCCCAAACCACUUGACUAGUACCUUUACUUUCAGCUUCUCACCUUCUUCUUUCGAGGCACACUUGGAGUUUGUACCAAGCUCAAUCUCGACCUCUUCUUGAAUUCAUACAAGAACAAAAUGGGUUUUUGCACAAAACUGAGAGAAUGAGAGAUGAAUGUUUCAGAAAUCAACCCAUGUUCGUUUUUAGAAAAUCCAUUUUUUUAAAAAAAUUAUUGGAAAACUUGGACGGAUUUUCUUCAUAGGUAAACACCCUCCAAAUGGUGAGGAAAGAAAAAACUCUCUCACGGCUACUACAGUCACCACUUCCAGAAAUGAGGGAGAUUUGAUUUUAAAUGAGAGUGAAACCUUAAUCCAAAGGUUGAAAAUCGAUCUAAAAAACAUGUUAGUUGGAUCAAUUUACCCCUAUACCUAGAUUGAUCCAAAAACAGGGGAACAAAAGCCUUGCACCAACAAUAUUUCUCUCAGUUUUCUUUACUCAUUUAAAGAUGAAAAAUAGGGUUGAUUCACAUUCAAUCACCACACACUCAACCACAUACCUUGACCUCUUAGCAAGUCUUAAUCUUCAAAGGUCAAGUAGUUCGAAGAGGGAUUGGUAAACCAAGUUAGGGAACACUUAGGAAUUUUUUUCGGAAUUUCCAACCUAGCUAAACACUCACAGGUUCAUUUUUUUAGAAACAUAUAACACCUUAAGAAAAAUAUGUACAUUUGAUUUCAACUUAACAUGACAGAGUCACACUCAUUUGGGUCUAAGAUUUGACUUAUGUAUGCUACAAAAUGUAAUUAAGAGCUUCCCAAACCUCAUUUGACAUGGUGGAACCCUACCUAAGGUACAUCUUUUACAAAAAUACAUACAUUCUUAACAAAUAUAUAUAUAUAUAUAUAUUUUGAAGAAAAAUACUUACAUUUUUUUCAAGCGAACUGUGUGUUGGCGUCGUAGAUCUAAGGAACGGAAACAAUACGAAUUUAUUUAUUUAUUUUUUUAAAUUGAUCUUUAGGGUUAAAGUGCUAACCUUUAGGUUUGGAUGUUUCAGACCUUAAAUUCCAAGUGUUGAAGAUGACAUUGAAGUUGUUGGAAGUCUCGUAAACCCAUGGUCUUUUGCUUGAUGACUCAACUUUAUUCUUGGCACAUUUUUGAUAGGAAGGAAAGAAAGGUGGAGGCUAGAGCUCUCUUUAUCUCUAAAUGGUGGAAGGAAAAAGUGAUGAAGACUCUAACCCCUAGGGGGUAUUUAUAGGGUUCCUAACUAAGCUUAAGUGACUUGAGCCCACAUGGGCUUGGGUAACUUAAUUUAGGCCAAAAUGGAUCCUAAUUGAUUAAUUAACCCAAUAGGGCCUACUAAUUAAUUAAUUAGCUCAAUCUAGAGACUUUGUUCACUUAUCCUUGUGCAAUCUUGUAUAAUUACCAAAACACCCUUAUGCACAAAAGUAAACCUAUAGUCAAUUCGACCCUCAUAACUAUGCCAAAAAGAUAUAUAAGCUCAGAGCGGGGACCACUAGGAUCCAUAAGAGUACUAACUCCCUCAGGAUCCAAUUAUGAAGUUGAUUCAACAUCUUAUUACAAAGAAUCAACCAAACUCCAAUAUUCUAUGUAAAUAACAACAAGACACUACGUGCUCGGGUCUAUGACCUAGUAUCCAUUGUGUUCAGUCUUCCCAUGAACUGGUGUUUUAGUCUAACAAGGUGAAAGCUAUCAACCUUUCAAGACUCUCUACCAUCCUUGUGUUACAAAUCCUCCUAUUGUAUAUUCAAUUGACAUGUCUUAGCUUUCAAAGAGCUUAUGUCAAGUUCUACUUAAGGAACUAUUAUGACCAUAGUUUCCAUGAACACAUCCCCUUAAGAUCACCCAAGGGGACACAUUGUCUCAAUCCCAUGAGAUAUCAUGGUGUCUAUUGAGAAUGCCUAUUGUUACCGACUUCCAUUAACAGUGACCCAAUCCAUAGGGAAUAUAUGAUCAACUUACGAUCUCACCCAUAGGUAAAAGUCAUUGCUAAUUUUAGUACAAUCUCAAUAUUCUCUCAAGGUUGAGAGAUAACACAAUGAAGUAUCUUGGUGAGGUCAUGACUACUUGAUAGUCUUAAGUCAUGACUCAUCAUAGGUCUUGUCCAACGUGUAAUCAUACACAGUAGUGUACUCACCAUGGGAAACCCAUCCCAAUAACGAAGACCAACCAUCCCUCCAAUUAGGAGGUGGUGCACUACAACCUCUAAUGGGUUGCCUAGACCCAUAAACCGGUUGUGAACAAGUCAAUUAUUUGCAAGGAACCCAUGACUUAAAGAUCUUCUAUGCAACUCCUAAUGCACCUAAGUCAUGUACAAUGCAAAAUAUGUUGACAAGACUUCUCAUAAAAUAUAAUACAUGGAAUAAAGAUAGAUAAAAGUGAAAUGGGAACAUCAUUAAAUAAAUAAGGAAUUUCAAAUUUAAUACACCAUGUUAUGCUUUUAAGAGCUCUAUCUUAAGACUAUAAUCCUAUUUGACCUUAUUUAGGUCUAGGUAUUCACUUAUGGAAGCCUGAGAAUGAAUUAAAGGUCUUUCCUUACCUUGUUAGGCUUUUCUAAACCAUAAGAACAUCCUUAAGAAAAAAUACAUAUAUUUUUAUGGAAAACAUGUACGUUCUUAAAAAAACAAAAUAUGUGCGUUUUUUUUAAAGGAGAUUGUGACCUUAUUUUGCCUUAUUUAGGUUUUAAUAUUAACUUAUGGAAGCCUUGUAAUAAUUUUGAGGCUUCCCAUUCCUCGUUGGUCAUUUUUAAAGUCUACGUACAUCUUUAAGAAAAAUAUGCACAUUCUUAAACAAAGUAUGUAAAUUCUUCAAAAAAAAAAAAAAAAAAAACCUUUUCUUUUAAGGUGGACCAUGGUUCUAUUCAUUCUUAUUUAGGUCUAAAUAUUAAAUUAUAGAAGCCUCAUAAUGAAUUUGAGGUCUUCCUGUUCCUUGUAGGUCAUUUCUAAAUCCUACAUACAUCCUUAAGAAACAUACAUGCAAUUUUUUUAAGGUGAACCAUGACAAUAUACAUCCUUAUUAGGAUCUCAAUAUUAACAUAUGGAAGUGUUGGAAUGUUUGAGGCUUUCCCUUAUUUGAUUGGGCAUUUCUAAAACCUAUGUACAAUUUUUUUAACAUAUGGAAAUAUGAUAGGUACAUGACUAGUAUCUUUUCAUACCAUAUCUAUAGCAUUCAUUCUUACUAUCAUGUUUGUUUUGUGAUUAUAUAUAUAUAUAUAUAUAUAUAUAUAUAUAUAUAUAUAUAUAUAUAUAUAUAUAUAUAUAUAUAUAUAUAUAUAUAUAUAUAUAUAUAUAUAUAUANNNNNNNNNNNNNNNNNNNNNNNNNNNNNNNNNNNNNNNNNNNNNNNNNNNNNNNNNNNNNNNNNNNNNNNNNNNNNNNNNNNNNNNNNNNNNNNNNNNNUCAAAAAAAAAAAAAAAAAAAACCCUUUCUUUUAAGGGGGGGCACGGGUCUAUUCACUCUUAUUUAGGUGUAAAUAUAAAAAUAUAGACGCCUCACAAAGAAUGUGAGGUCUCCCCGUUCCCUGUGGGUCACUUCUAAAUCCCACACACACCCCUAAGAGACACACACGCACUUUUUUUAAGGGGAGCCACGACACUAUACACCCCUAUUUGGGUCUCUCUAUUUACAUAUGGAGGUGUGGGAGUGUGUGAGGCUCUCCCCCAUUUGAGUGGGCGCUUCUAAAACCCAUGUACACUUUUUUUAACACAUGGAAAUAUGAGAGGGACACGUCUAGUGUCUUUUCUCACCCUAUCUAUAGCACUCUCUCUCUCUCUCACGUGUGUUUUGUGUGUAUAUAUAUAUAUAUAUAUAUAUAUAUAUAUAUAUAUAUAUAUAUAUAUAUAUAUAUAUAUAUAUAUAUAUAUAUAUAUAUAUAUAUAUAUAGAUAUAUCCUUUUUAGGUUGUGCCUUUGAAUUAUUCCACUUCUAAUGGUUUGAAUUGUUUUUUCUAUUCUAAUGACUAUAAUUACCAUGGUACCAAGAAUUAUGUUUACCACGACCAUGAUUGUGUCCUUAGCCUUGUUCACGUCCAAGUCCAACUCAAUGUCUAGGAGCUUGGACGGAUGUGACAGUUGCUUCUAGCAAUGACACAUACCUAAUAGUAUGAGGUUGAUGAUUCUUCGGUAGAAGUUCAUUAUUUUGUUUAGCCAUAAGAAGACAUUAAACUAAUUCAAAAUAUUUAGUGAAAUGAUGUUCUUGAUAUCGUUGCCAUAGGAGUACAUUCGAGGCAUGAAAAAUGGUGUUCAUUAUUCUUUAAUGAUUUUUUCUCCAUAUAAAUUGUGAACAACUUUUGAAUAAAGUCGAGUUGUGGUCAUUGACAGACUUGAAAUUUUGUAAUCUCAAGUGCAUCUAAUCAUGAUGUGCUUUUGGAAGGAUUACAAUCUCGUGGUGGCCAUAUCAUUAUGUUAUAUUAUUCCAAAGGAUCAAAGUAUCAUUCCAUUAGAUUAUUUCAAAGGAUGAAAAUUCUUUGAUUGUAAGGAAUUCACCUUUUAUUCCUUCAUCAAUGUGAUAAUGAAGGAAUAUUAAUGCUCUAGUACGAUCUUGUGAGGAUGCCUCAUUUUAUUUUUUAAUGGUCUUUUCAAGAUUCAUAUUGUUUAGGUGAAUUUUAGCAUCUAGAAUCCAUAUAAAUAGUUUGCCUGAAAUAGGGAGUGUAACAAACUCAAACUUGGUAAGAUUUGACAUUAUUUGAAAACUAUAUUUGAAAUAAUUUAAUUGGAAUAAUAUUUCAAUUUACCAAAAUGAAUUAUAAAUAAAUGAAUAAAAUUAUCUAACAAUAUUUUAUCAGGUUAAUAUUCAUUAAUAAAAACAUAACGAUUUAAGAUUUUGUUAUAUUUUAUCUCUAAAGGAUUAUUAUAACUAUGGUAAAAAAAAUGCAUGAACAUCAUGUAGUAUUAACAAAAUAAAAAUUACGAAUUGAUAGCUUACAUAGCUUUUGGCUAUGGAUUAUUUUUAUCAUAACAAAAAUGUGUAAAUUUGUAUAUAUCUUUAGGCUAUGAAAUAUUCAUUAUUUAACUUCUAACUAUACAAUUUUGUUUUGUGUAACAUUUGGUUAUAUCAUUAUAAUUAAAAGAAAUUAGAAAUUACGUGUAAGUCAUUCUUUAUAUUUUUAUAACUUUAUAAUUUCUCAUAUAACCUUUGGCUAUACAAUUGUACAUAUUUUACAUAUUUUUUUAUAACUUCUAGUUGUGAUUUUUUUUCAUAAUUUUUGUCUAUAAAAAAAAUAUUUUCAAGUUUCUUCAUCGAAAAAAGGAUAAAUUAAAUAGAAAAUAAUACAAAAGUAGAAGUUUAUCACAUACCUUUUAGAGGAGAAAAAAGAUAUUUUAUGAGAAUAAGUUUGUCCUUUUAGUGUUUGAAUCUUAUACAAAAACUUAUAAUAAGAGUUUUCUUUUGGAGAGACUAGAAUUAGAGAAGAGAUAGAGUUCUAAAAUAACUUUGAGGUAUCCAUUUCAUUGACCCAAGUUUCCUAUUUAUAAGAGUUUGAAAAAACUAGGAUUAAUUAUAAUAUUUAAUUCUUUAUGGGGAAAAAGUAAAAAAUAAAAAAGGCUUUUAAUCAUUAAUUAAGAGUACUUGCUUAAAUACAAAAUUUCACAAAAAUUUAAACUAAAUUCCUUUAAAAAAGAAUAGAUAACUUGUUUUAAAAAAUAGUUAAACUAUGUUAAUUUUAUAUAAUUUGAGUGAGAAAUAAAUUUAUUAUAAAUUGACAAAGUUGUCAUUCACAAAAAGCAUCAAAUAUAUUUGAUUUUUUUUUUCAUUUUCAUUUUUCAUUUUUUUAAGGAAAAAUCAGAUUUAAAUUUUUUUCAUAAAUUGAUAGCUAAAAGAUAAAUUUACAAAAUUUCAAAUCCCCACAUGUUUCCAUUAUUUUUACCCCAUAAAUUAUCCCAUCCUUAAUAAGAUUGAAUUUUGCAAAUUAUUAUUGAUUACUCAUUCAAAAAUAAAAAUAAAUUACACUAAAAAUCAUAAAAUUUAAAUUAGAAAAAUAUUUAAUAUAAAUUUUAAAAAUUCAGCUUUAUAAAAAAUAAAAAUAAUUAUCAAUUCUAAUAAGAUUUUUUUAAUCAAAAUUCUAAAGCAUAAUUCACAUUCAUCUAAAUAUUUAUUAGAAUUAAUAAUUUUUAAAAAUAUAAAUUAAAAUUUGAUACCCCUUCGGAGAUAAAAUUCCAAAAAUCAAUGAAUUAAUUUAGAAAAGAAUACAUAUUUCAAUCUCAAAUCUUCAAAUCUAAACAUAUACUAACUUAGAAAAGUUCUAAUAGUUUCUAACAAGUCUAAGUGGGUAUUUGGUAAAUCAAUUUAAUAACUUAAUUCAAGUUAUUAAAUAAAUUAAAUAUAGUUGGUAAAAUAAUUUAAUGGUAUGACUUAAAGUAAAAAACAACUUUAAGUAAUAAGUAAAAAUAAUUAAUUUAUUCUUAAAUUCAUGUUUUCAUUUUAUCUUUUUACCCUCAUUUAUCUUAGUUCCACGAUUUAUUUUGCUAUUAUACAACUUCCAUCAUUACUUGAUCUCAUUUACCCUCAUUAUAAUUUAUGGGGGUAAGUAUAUUAAUUUGAUGAUUUAGAAUAAAUUUUAAAUUAAUUUUAUUAAAAAAUCUUAAUAUUUAAAGUAAAAAUUAAGUAAUAAGUUUUAAGUCAAUAACUUCAAUAUAAUUUUACUUAAAAUCAACUUAAGUCAUUGAGUAAUAAUUAUUGAGUUUUACCAAACACCCCAUAAUUAUACUUAUUAUCAUACUACCAAUUUCUUAUCAAUUACAUAAUUAUUUAUUAUAAAAUUUUAAUAUGUUAAUGAAUUAUGAUAUUUAAAUAUUUAAAAAUAUGUUGAUUGCAAACUAAUUUAACAAGAAAUAAAAUAAUAUUAUUUUGUAAAUAUUUUUGUAAUGUAAAAGAUAAGUAAUUUAAUAUUUUUUAACAUUUACUAAUAAUUAAAAUAUAAAAAAUUUAAAUAUUUAACAAUACUUAAUUUAUUCAAAUUUAAAACAAAUUUAGAUCUUAGAUAAAAAUACAAUCACCACUGAAAUUUUAAAUAUUUAAAAUACACAUAAAGUUUAAAUAUUUAUUUAAUUUCAGGAAUCUAAGAACUAAGGAAGGGACCAAUAGUGACUUGUCGAUCUAAAAGUAUGCAAGUUCUAUUUUCUUUUCCCUACAAUAUCAUUUUUUUCCUUGCAACAUCAUUUUUGUGGUGGAAAUUAUGCGGAGGACCAGUGUACUUAAUUGACAGGGCUGGCGAAAGCGAUGACGUGGAAUGAUCAAAGCAAUGAGAUGUCGUGGAAGCAACCAACUAUCGGGACGCUUCUAUAUUUUACCAUGCCAUAACAAAAGUUUCCAUAAUUCGCAAGUUCUGGAGAGAUACGAAACCGAGAUAGAAUAUAAUUUAGAAAGGAAAAUGAAAAUGAAAGCUGAGAUAAGGAAUGAGCAUCACCACCUCCUAGAAGUAUCCAAGGGUUUAACCCACUCUCUGAAAUUUGCUAUAAAUACUCAGCAAUUUCCCGUGUUGUUCAUCAAUACUUAAAAGAGUUUGAAUUUAUCAAUCACAUUAGUAGCAAUGGCAGACGAGAUUAUCGUGUUGGAUUUCCGGCCUAGCAUGUUUGGUAUGAGGGUCAGAGUUGCCCUGGCAGAGAAGGGUCUCAAGUAUGAAUAUAGAGAGGAGGACCUGUGGAACAAGAGCCCUUUGCUUCUUGAGAUGAACCCAGUUCAUAAGAAAAUCCCAGUUCUGAUCCACAAUGGAAAGCCCAUUUGUGAGUCUCUGAUAAUAGUUCAGUGUAUUGAUGAGGUUUGGUACGAUAAAUCUCUGCUUUUGCCCAGUGACCCAUACUAGAGAGCUCAGGCCAGGUUCUGGGCGGACUACAUAGACAAGAAGGUAUGCCUUUGCUGUUGAUUUAAAGCAUUCUUUUCCAUUGAUUCAUGGCGAUUGACUCAGAUUUUGAUUAUGGUGAGGGAUUUGUCCAAAAUGCUGGGUUUCUUCACACGUUCCCUUCUGAUAUUGAGUUUUGUGGGCUUUGGGGUUCCAAACUAGAACUUUUACUGAUUCUCCUUGCUGUUUGUUCAACAAGACUAUACUCUGCAUUUCUGAUAUGGGUUUAAAUUUCUUGUUUAUGUUGAAUACGAAUUCUGUUCGUUCCAUCAGGAAAAACAGAUCUCAAGAAUACCUUUUUUCCCCAAGCAAGGCGAAUACAUAAACCAGAUAUUUAAAGAAAGGUGUUUGGUUUUUUGUUAUCUUGCUGUUCAACAUCUUGCACAACAGUUGUUUUAAUAUAUGUUCUGUUUCUUUGAUCUCUUUCUUCUCAUUUUCUGAAACCCAAUUUGAGGGGAAAAACUUCAGCAAAUGAUACAUUCUUUCAGCUGAUUCUGAUCUUUUUUCUUCCACCGGCACUUCAUUUUAUUCUUAGCAAAUGAUAUUUCUAUGCGGAAGAGUCCUUAAUAAACUUGUCCAACUUUACAGAAUUUGAAACUUGAUGAAAUUCUCCAAAAAAAAUAAUCCUUCUCUCUUUGACUCCAUUAUUUUCCACAGCUCUAUGAACUUGGAAGGAAGAUAUGGUCAACCAAAGGAGAAGAGCAGGAAACAGCCAAGAAGGAAUUCAUAGAGUGCCUUAAGCUUUUGGAAGGAGAGCUUGGAGAGAAGCCUUACUUCGGUGGUGAAAAAAUUGGGUUUGUAGAUGUGGCUCUGGUGACCUUCUCUUGCUGGUUUUAUGCAUACGAGACCUUUGGCAACUUCAGCAUAGAGGCGGAGUGCCCCAAGUUGAUCGCUUGGACCAAGAGGUGCAUGGAAAGGGAGAGCGUGUCGUCUUCUCUUGCAGACCCCCACAAGGUCCAUGGCUUUGUCGUGGUGUU